CAAUGUAUUGUUGCUACUCAAGCUCCGGAUCAACGUGCCGGAGACCGAACAAUGUUGCCCACUGCUUAGUGGGUUGGCUGAUCUAGAUGCCGCUGUCUGUGUUUGCACUGCCAUCAAGGCCAACCUCCUUGGCCUCAUCGACAUCGACAUUCCCGUCGACCUGACCCUCCUACUCAACCAUUGUAACAAGACAUAUCCCUCUAGUUUCACCUGCUCGCCAUGAGCCAUGAUCAACUAUACCUCUCCAAAACAUUCUCAUAAUUGUCAUGCAUGUGAGGCAUACUCAUCUAUGCCAACUCAUUAAUAAAUUUAUGUUAGAUUAUAUAUUUAGAUUUCAAGUUAUGUUUGUGUGUGUGACAUAAGUGUAUCAUGCAUGUUAUGUAAUCAAAUUUAUUGAGAUGGAGCUUGUCUCAUUGAAGAUAUUUCCUACAACAUAUGAGAUCAUUAUAAAUAAUUCAAAACGACAUCGCAGCUGAUCGUUUGAACCAUCUAUCUAUAUACGACAUAUUUAUGAAUUUUUACAACCGGUUCUAUAGUCUAUGGAAACAUCUAUGACAUUUGGAUCUUACUAUGAACCAUAUGUUGACAGUUACUUAUCAUUGCUGGUUUAAGAGAUUUCUUUGUUCUCGACUAGAUGUGUUGAUUAUGUUCAUGUGGGGUGCAAACUCUAUAAACUAGUGACAUCUUGCGCGUUGCUGCGAGAUUUUGUUGUCGCGAAGAUGAUAACAAUUGAAAUCAGUUAUAUGCCAAAUUUUAUUUACAUACAGUGACUGCUGUAUUUGUUUUAUAACAUGCAUCACCGGCAGAUGAUUUAAACAAUUUAAAAGAAAAAUAAAUUGGAAAGCCCAAGAGCUGGAAUAGUUCCUGGCUUCCUGCAUGAAUCAUCCUUCAUGGUCUGUUUUUGAACAUAGUUAAAAUGGCCAUAUAAAAUGAAUAAUAUGUCAAGAUCCAAAUUACUCAAUAUAGUAACACUUUGUAAAAGGAAUAAUUCAGAAUAGUGACCCAUUUCAUUGUUGUAGUUUUUUUUAACACUGUAUAGACGCAAGCGCUCAUAUACACGCGCAUACACUCAUCCCUAUGAACGCACACACGUACACCCUAUCCCUAUAAGCACCUCCGAAAGAUUGAGCCGGAAUAUCAUCUUGAAAUUUAUGGUGACUUCGUAAAUUUCAUUGUUGUAGUUUAUUAGUUGUGCAAACUACAAAAAGAUCUCGAGAAUCUUAGUGGUCUUAAUCACAUCAUAUACGUUAUGGUUUUUUAUUUCCUUUUGAUUAGUACAAAAUGCACCACUGUUAUCACUGGACAACCGUACAACGACAUCCCUUGUGAAUCCACAUAUCGAUCCUGCCUUCUUCUUAUAGUCGAAUCAACCAAACUGCAAAAUCAAAAUGGCCUAACGAAUCAAAUGUUACAUAGCUGGGGAGAAGGCAGCUUGCCCCAGUAAUCGGCAACAUAGUGGAAAUAAUAGAUUGAAAAUAUGAGCUCACUUGUGUGUCCUAGCUUGGCGGAAGGCGUUGGGGUAGAGGCGCCUGUGGAUGGUGAUGAUAAGAAGAGGCGGACUACUCCACAUGUGCCGGCCUCUACGACGACGUAUAACACGGACUCCGUGACACCCAUCAACAUGGCAGCGAGCGAUGCGUUGGAUUCGGGAGCCUUGGCGUCGUGCAGGAUGGGAUGAGGCAUGAUAGUAAUUAUUAUAGGAAGAUUUUUACUUGAGUUAAUUAUUGAGAGGAGAGAAAUGGUUUACACGUGGGACCUAUUUGCUGAUGUGGACGGUGUACAUGUUGAAAAAAAUGAUAGUAAUAGGCAUCAACUUCUUAAGAAUGUAAGAUGUCAUGCCAUUUAUUUAUUUAUUUUGCGAGAAAACCUUCAAUCUAUUUAUCAAUUGUCAAGGUAGUAUAAAAAACAUCAAAAGUAAAAAUUACAUCCAGGUCCGUAGACCAUCUAGCGAUGACUACAAGCACUGGAGCGAGCCGAAGGCGCACCAUCGUCAUCGCCCCUCCCUCAUCGGAGCCGGACAAACAUUGUUGUAGUAGUCAGUCGGGAAGUCGUCAUGCUAAGGCCCUAUAGGACCAGCACAGCAGAACAGCAACCGCCGUCGAUGAAGAGGAUCCUAGAUCGGAAAGAUCCAAGCUGCAGACACAUAGACGAACGAAGACCGAAUCCAAGAGGAUCCAUCGAAGAAAAAUGCAGACCGGAUGCCACGAGAUCCGCUGGAGACACACCUCCACACGCCCUCCGCCCCGUCUUCCUGAGCAUGGCACAAACCAUAACAAAACUCCAAGAAACACCUAAAAACGAAGCCCUCCUUCGACAAGGGCCGGGAUCCAUCGUGCCCCCAUUAUCUAAGGACCAUAGGAGAGGAGACGCACCGGCGCGCCGCCGGCGAGAGACGGGGAAACUCUAACUGAGGAGCCAAGAGCGAAGGCCUAGUUCGUAACUUUAUCAUGCCAUUUAUUUUGCUAGCGUUAUGCACACACUUGCUUAGCCAUUUGCUGCUCACAGGAUGAGUGGCCAUGUUCUUACCAAACAGUGUGGAAUUUUCCUAUUAGAACUUGUCUGCCUUGCCUUAGAUGAUGGAGGGGAUUGAAUGCCUCUUCACCACUGUUCGUUUACAAAUAUCAACAUGCACAAGAUUUUGUCAUCUUUUAUGAGUAUAGGGCAUGUUAGCACGUGAACUUGAGAAACCUUGUUCAUUUUUUACCAUUUUUGUCCCAUGCAAAAAAGAGGCAAGUACAAUAUAAUUCAUAAGUUUCUUUUCUAUACAUUGCCAUAUUUUUAAUUAAUUUCAGAAAGUUCACGUGUUAUAAUCCUACAUCCACGGUUUAAUCAACAUAUUUUUGGAUUCCCUUAACCCCUACGCGCUACCUACUCAAAAUUUAUCUUAACUAGCACAAAUGCCCGUGCGUUGCAACGGGAGAGAUUUUUUUUAGCAUGCACUCAAUUUUUCUAAGAAAUAUAUAUGCAAGCACAACCCCCAUGUUUCGCUAUGAAGAAAGUGCUAGUUACCCUGUCCACCUAAACACCGAACUCAAAACAUCCGACUGCAUGGCACGGCAACAUCAGAACGUUGCCACCCAGGGAGGCGUUGCAACGGGAUAUUAAUAUCCUUGAACCCACGCAUCUAAACAGAUAAAUAUCAAGCCAAAUAACUGUUACAAUGAACCGCUAAAUUCUGGCAUGCAAAGGGAAGACAAUGACAAUCUCCAUUUAUCAAAGAACAAAAAAUUGUAUGAAACUAAAACAAUAAAUUUGGUCUCAUACUAUGAAUAAUUCAUAAUACAACAACAACAACUUAUCAGGUCAAGGGUACAAAUUAUUUCUUGUGAAGUGCAGAACCCAUGGGUGAUUGACCUUACAAAUAUGAUAAUUCUGGUAACAAAAUUGCUUGUCUUUUCCAUAUGCGCCAAAAUGAUCCUUGAUAGAACACAUGGAUAUAGUUAAAAAAUGAACCGAGGAUCAGAAGCUUGUGGAUUGACCCGUUUCAAAUUUAGUAUGAACAUGAGUAAAAUAAUUAUAAUAAUUUAUGACUGGACUGGAAAUGUGAUCUCCUCUGUGGAUCACACCUGCAAAAUAAUGAUAUAAUGUACUUGAAUCUAGGAAAAAACUUAUAUGUAAAAUUUUAGAUAAGACUAAUACCAAGCUGUGCAUGUCUAGUUGUCCUGCUGAGCUCCAUCUCAGCUGCAAUCUCUGGACCAACUCACUUCUUAGCGAUCAACAAUGAGCGCAGGCAAGUCACUAUGACAACACAUGAAUGUCUCACAACAGAUGCAUCCAAUAAUUCAAACCGGCAGUUGAGCAUCACUAUGUACAUUGCCGAUGAAGACCCUAAUACAGUGUUGCUGAUUCAGAAAAUAAAUAUGCAAAGCCGAUGCUACUAUUUUUAGGUAUAUACGCAGUACCAAAUAGAGGUAGAUUCAUCAGUGAAUAUGUGAGUCCUUGAUUGCACUGUCAUCAAAAAAGCUGCUCAUUGCCCAUGUUUGUCUCCCAAUUAGCUACAAACAGACAAUAAGGUCAACUAACAAUGCACAUUUUCAUUGAGUUAAAAGCAUAGCCUGCAAAAUGAAUCAGAUGGCAAGAUUUCACUAUUCUUUAGUGCAUUGAAGAUCAAUGGAAAACGCAAAUCAGCAAAGGCCUGCAAUCAUGGUAUUUCAUUCAAGUCUGUAGCAUUGUGAUCAGGUCUGCAGUUAUGGUAUUCCAUUCAGGUUUGUAGCAUUGAGAUCAUUGUCGUGUCUUGGUAACCAUCAUGAUGUACAACCCCGGAGAUGUCAGCCGACAAUACCAGCAUCCAUUGGAAAUCUGCAACUAUGUAUCAGCACCUUGUGCAUGUGCAUGCCUGUAAGACAACUAACUCAUGGGCUUCUUACCUGCUGUUCCUGAUCGUUCUUCCUUGGACUUCAGUUUGGAAUAUUGACGGCCUAACAAAUCAAAAGCAUUUCAAUCCAUCUCAUCAAUCAGCUUAUGUGCUAGCUCAGAGCGCCCAACCUUUUCAGGUCACUGAUCAGUGGACGAUGGAUAUAUAAAUCAAAGGCUGGUGUAACUUACACGCACUUGGACUCGGGCAUCGCCUUCAGGUCAUGGUGGACACCGUCUGGUCCAGUCCGAUCCCUGACCAAGCUGUUGUUUGGAUCGGCAGGUGGGCUAUGUGAGCGAGUGAUGUGAGGAAGCGGACGACGUGCGCGAGUGCCAACGUGCCCGACAAAUUAACUGACAACUGAAACUUUGAUGAAACUGAUGAACUGAAUUUUCUGAAUCUGAUGAAACUAAAUCUGACGAAACUGAUGAAACUGAAACUGUCGAAUCUGAGGGAACUUCAGGACAGCAUAGGUGGCGCCAUAGUGGCCUCGUGCGAAGGCUGCUGCAGCCUCAGAGGGAGCUGCACGGGGAGGGGCAGCCGAGUUGGUCGUCAUCCCUUGUCGUGGAUCAUUAGAGCUGCGGGUCACAGGUGGCGGAAGAGCAUAUCCGGGGCUGGGAGGAGUAGCCGCGGGUCGCCGCAUAUAGGGCGCGUCAAUCCUGUACGGGCAGCCAGCAUACCCAAUCAGGAUUAAGUCACGAACCCGCAAUCCUGAUGAAGUCAGACCUCUCGAUAAUAGGCUGCCCGGUGUGAUGCAAAUGCUAGCAGUAUGUGUACUUCUUAAAUUAAGUGAAGCAAGUUCAUACAAUAAUUAGAAGGUUCAGUACACUUUUCUGUUUCAAAUUGUUUUUCUUGUGAUGCGGCAAAGAAAUUCUCCUACAGUUGCAAAAAUCAUUAUUCAUAGUUUAAUAGUAAUAAUGUUCAGGCAGGUACAAAUUUAGGAAAAAUACCACAUGAAUCUGAAUUAAACCAUACAUGAUUCACAAUCGCAUCUAAGUACAAAACCAACAGUGGUCCUCCAUCUAAGCAUCCCACGAGUACACCUGAUCUCAAGAUUACUAACUAAAACCAAGUCUCGCAACAGUAAGAGAAGAAGACCAUGUCCACCAGUAUCAAGUGCUGAAGAAUCGUAUUAGGUGUUUUACAAUUACAGAUAGUCGAAGAGCACCACUGUUCGUUUACAAAUAUCAACAUGCACAAGAUUUUGUCAUCUUUUAUGAGUAUAGGGCAUGUUAGCACGUGAACUUGAGAAACCUUGUUCACUUUUUUACCAUUUUUGUCCCAUGCAAAAAGAGGUAAGUACAAUAUAAUUCAUAAGUUUCUUUUCUAUACAUUGCCAUAUUUUUAAUUAAUUUCAGAAAGUUCAUGUGUUAUAAUCCUACAUCCAUGGUUUAAUCAACAUAUUUUUGGAUUCCCUUAACCCAUACGCGCUACCUACUCAAAAUUUAUCUUAACUAGCAGCUAUGGGUUUGUCAAGCAUGCAUAUAUUUCUUAUCUACAUCCUAGAAUAUCUUUUGUACAACUGAAGUGUAUAACAUAUUUGGCUUUAUUUUUUCUGAAAAUGUGGAUAAUCCCUAUCCUCUGCAUCGAACGAUGUAUACAUCCAUCUUUAUUAAAUUAUGCAACAGGGCAAAAUAAAUACAAGGAUGAAUCCAAAGCCACCUAUCUGGCGAUUUAUGUCGCUACACAUGCAUGCUUGACGAUGUGCCUUGACCGCACCAACGCACACCAUCUAAUUUGGUGGCCUCACGAAGUCACCGCGGCUGUGAGCGAAGAGCACCAAUCGGUCAGCAGACCCACAGCGCGCACCGCAGGCACACGCUCUAGGAUCCUGCGCCGCCAUCUUCGACCGUCCCAUCUUCUGGAGGGAUCCUUGCAUUGACCUCGCCAGGACCAACUAUUGUCGACGCCACCACGAUGUCAGACAACGCCUUCAGUCUGCACGCGUCCAUCAAGCCGCGUCCAAUGCCAAGACUCCACUGCACCACACCACCGAGACCCGCCGUCUUCGAGGAGGUAGAUGCAAUACCACUCCACCUUACGCCCCCUCCAGUAAGAAUCUGAUCCAAAACAAUGCCCCCAGGAGGGAGAACGACACCAGAGUCACCGUCAUCAUCCGACCCAGGAGACCUAGAUCUAGGGCUUCCCUUGGAGCAGAUACCCUCUGGAGGAAAAGAGGCACAACAUCUGCAUUUGCCAACGAACCCAAAUGGUACCCACUAUCACAAAGCUCUCAGGGCGACACCUUGAGCAUCAUCGUCGCCAACUGCAGUUAGUGUUUUCACCUGAGAAGCGGUGAGGUAGGAAGAAGUAAGGCAUACCCGAACGACAACUCCAAGAAGAAAACCGACGCCAACAAGCGUCGUUUUCAUCGUGGCCGGCCGAAGCGGACCAGGGAAUUAUCCUUGGUCAUAACCUAAGACGAGGUUCAUGGGCCAGAUGAUAUAGAGUAUGAGGACUAUAUGAUGGCGGUAACCAAUAAGAAGGUCAUUUCUAGUGAUUGGCGUGCUAGUCGAGGUGGUUUUGUUGCUCUGUCCAGGGGCAUGCCAUUCAAGUGUGCGUGAGGUCGGGACCGCGGUGGUGGCUCGACUGGCACAUGAAACAUACCGUGCAAGGCAGGGAAUGACAAGCUUGGAUGAAGAUGGGGAGUACGAGUUGGAUGACUCAUCGACUAGCCCAUUAAAGAAUACGUCAACUCCAGUAGGUGAAGAGAAGGACAAGGAAAGUGUUGCAAUGAAGCUGGACCUUGGUACAUAAAAUGUGCAUGCUAAUGUUAAGGAUCAUGAUGUCACCGAGAGAAGAACAUGCAAGAAGCGGCGGCUACCAAGGAAGGGCAAUCUGGUGACGGGUUGCAUGCCCUCCUCUCCCACCUCAAUAUGUGAGGUGUAGGGAUAGGAAGAAACCAAAACAUGGAACUUCACCCUAAAAAAGAUGAACUCUGAUGAAAAAUUGGCAAGCUCUGAUAUGGACCACUAAUAUUCUCGGUUAGAACAGUUGCGGGAUUGGCAACACAUGAUAUUUCGAGAGGUACACAUGUUAGUGCAAAAGACUGCCCCCAAGUGCUAUGUCUAUAGGAAACUCAAAGGUAGCACUACAAUAAAUAAUCUAGCAUUUAGGUUGGGCUUUGAUAAUAGUUGUGCCAUAGGGAGUGAUGGCCGCAAUGGUGCUUUGGCUAUGUACUAGAAUAAUUAUGUUACAAUGAGAUUGCUUCACUAUUCCUAGUAUCAUAUUGAUAUGAAAAUUAAAAUAGAUGGAGAAGAACAAUGCUGGUUUACAAAUAUCUAUGGAGAAACUAAUACGAGAGAGAGAGAGAGAGAGAGAGAGAGAGAGAGAGAGAGAGAGAGAGAGAGAGAGAGAGAGAGAGAGAGAGAGAGAGAGAGAGAUCUUGGAAACUUCUUGAGUUCCUGAGAUCAGAGUCAGAUCUUCCCUGCUAUGGAUUGGUGAUCUCAAUGAAGUACUACAUCAGAGUGAUGUUGGGGGCGACAAGAGGGACACGAAGCAAAUGAAUGACUUUCAAGAAGUAGUGGAUGCGACUGGGACCCUAAUUCAUAAAACCACCACAAUUCGUUUCUUUUCUUAAAAAAACCACCAAUAUUGUGCUGACAGUUUCAGAAACUACGGAUCAUUGGAUUAUCACUCAAUUAGAGAUGACGUUUGACAAAAAAACUGAUAGCUGGGUCCCAUGGUCAGGUGACAUGUGUCCAGGACGAAAUAACGCCGCUACUAACAAAAUUCACUAAUUGGAAUCAUAGGGAAGAUAUCACGUGGAAGAAGUGAUCAAGGGUUCAAGGGGAUUGCAACACAAAAAUCAUUAGCGGGGAAGCAGACGGAGGAAGAAGAACAAGAUAGGACAACUCGCGAUGUCUGAUGGAACUGUUGUGACGGAUGUUCACGAGCUGCACAACCUCAUAGUCCAUUUCUAUAAAACUCUCUACACUUCUGAAGGGGCAACAGGGACGGACGUGGUCCUUGAUAGUGUAACGGUAAAGGUGAAGCAAUUGGUAAACUUUAGGCUCGAUAAGGAGUAUGGGGUCGAAGAGGUGAAGGCUGCUCUUUUUCAGAUGUUCCCCACAAAAGUGUCGGGCCCUAACGGAAACUCAACAUGCCUGUGGACGGCGAUGAUAAGAAGAGGAGGACUACUCCACACGCGCCGGCCUCUACGACGACGUAUAACACGGACUCCGUGACACCCAUCAACAUGGCAGCGAGCGAUGCAUUGAAUUCGGGAGCCUUGGUGUCGUGCAGGAUGGGAUGAGGCAUGGUAGUAAUUAUUAUAGGAAGAUUUAUACUUGAGUUAACUAUUGAGAGGAGAGAAAUGGUUUACACGUGGGACCUACUUGCUAAUGUGAACAGUGUACAUGUUGAAAAAAAUUGACAGUAAUAGGCAUCAACAUCUUAAGAAUGUAAGAUGUCAUGCCAUUUAUUUAUUUAUUUGCAAGAAAACUUUCAAUCUAUUCCUCAAUUGUCAAGGUAGUACAAAGAACAUCAGAAUUAAAAAUUACAUCCAGAUCCAUAGACCACCUAGCGAUGACUACAAGCACUGAAGCGAGCCGAAGACGCACCGCCGUCAUCGCCCCUCCCUCAUCGGAGCCGGACAAACAUUGUUGUAGUAGUCAGUCGGGAAGUCGUAGUGCUAAGGCCCCAUAGGACCAGCACAGCAGAACAGCAACCGCCGGUGAUGAAGAGGAUCCUAGAUCGGAAAGAUCCAACCUGCAGACACAUAGACGAACGAAGAUUGAAUCCAAGAGGAUCCAUCAAAGACAAAUGCAGGCCGGAUGCCAUGAGAUCCGUUGAAGACACACCUCCACACGCCCUCCAGCGAUGUUAGAAACAUCACCGGGACGAGAGCUAGGCGGGAAGAACCUUAUUCCAUCUUCAAGAAGCCGCCUCCGCCCCGUCUUUCUGAAUAUGGCACAAACCAUAACAAAACUUCAAGAAACACCUAAAAACGGAGCCCUCCUAUCGGCAAGGGCCGGGAUCCAUCACGCCCCAUGAUCUAAGGAUCAUAGGAGAGGAGACGGACCGGCACGCCGCUGGCGAGAGACGGGGAAACCCUAACUGAUGAGCCAAGAGCGAAGGCCUGGUUCGUUACUUUAUCAUGACAUUUAUUUUGCUAGCGUUAUGCACACACUUCCUUAGCUAUAUGCUGCUCAUAGGAUGAGUGGCCAUGUUCUUAUCAAACAGUGUGGAAUUUUCCCAUUAGAACUUGUCUGCGUUGCCUUACAUGAUGGUGGGGAUUGAAUGCCUCUUCACCAUUGUUCGUUUACAAAUAUCAACAUGCACAAGAUUUUGUCAUCUUUUAUGAGUAUAGGCAUGUUAGCACGUGAACUUGAAAAACCUUGUUCAUUUUUUACCAUUUUUGUCCCAUGCAAAAAAGAGGCAAGUACAAUAUAAUUCAUAAGUUUGUUUUCUAUACAUUGCCAUAUUUUUUAAUUAAUUUCAGAAAGUUCACGUGUUAUACUCCUACAUCCAUGGUUUAAUCAACAUAUUUUUGGAUUCCCAUAACCCAUAUGCGCUACCUACUCAAAAUUUAUCUUAACUAGCAGCUAUGGAUUUGUCAAGCAUGCAUAUAUUUCUUAUCUACAUCCUAAAAUAUCUUUUGUACAACUGAAGUGUAUAACAUAUUCGGCAAUCUUUUUUGCCGAAAAUGUGGAUAACCCCUAGCCUCUGCAUCGAACGAUGCAUACAUCCAUCUUUAUUAAAUUAUGCAACAUGGCAAAAUAAAUACAAGGAUGAAUCCAAAGCCAUCUUUCUGGCGAUUUAUGUCGCUACACACACAUGCUUGAUGAUGUGCCUUGACCGCACCAACGCACGCCAUCUAAUUCGGUGGCCUCAUGAAGUCACCGCGGCUGUGAGCGAAGAGCACCAACAGGUCUAGCAGACCCACAACGCGCACCGCAGGCACGCGCUCUAGGAUCCUGCGCUGCCAUCUUCGACCGUCCCAUCUUCUAGAGGGAUCCUCGCAUUGACCUUGCCAGGACCAGCUAUUGUCGACGCCACCAUGAUGCCAGACAACGCCACUAGUCUGCACGCGUCCAUCAAGCCGCGUCCAACGCCGAGACUCCACUGCGCCACACCGCCGAGACCUGCCGUCUUCGAGGAGGUAGAUGCAAUACCACUCCACCUUACGGCUCCUCCAGUAAGAAUCUGCUCCAAAACAAUGCCCCAAGGAGGGAGAACUGAAGGAGAUAUGCCUUAGAGGCAAUAAUAAAGUUGUCAUUUAUAUUUCCUUAUAUCAUGAUAAAUGUUUAUUAUUCAUGCUAGAAUUGUAUUAACCGGAAACUUAGUACAUGUGUGAAUACAUAGACAAACAAAGCGUCACUAGUAUGCCUCUACUUGACUAGCUUGUUAAUCAAAGAUGAUUAAGUUUCCUAGCCAUGGACAAGAGUAGUCAUUUGAUGAACGGGAUCACAUCAUUCUAAUGAAGUGAUUGACUUGACCCAUCUGUUAGCUUAGCACUAUGAUCGUUUAGUUUAUUGCUAUUGAUUUCUUCUUAACUUAUACAUGUUCCUAUGACUAUGAGAUUAUGCAACUCCCGAAUACCGGAGGAACACUUAGUGUGCUAUCAAACGUCACAACGUAACCGGGUGAUUAUAAAGAUGCUCUACAAGUGUCUCCGAUGGUGUUUGUUGAGUUGGCAUAGAUCGAGAUUAGGAUUUGUCACUCCGAUUGUCGGGGAGGUAUCUCUGGGCCCUCCAGGUAAUACACAUCACUAUAAUCCUUGCAAGCAAUGUGACUAAUGAGUUAGUUACGGGAUGAUGCAUUAUGGAACGAGUAAAGAGACUUGCCGGUAACGAGAUUGAACUAGGUAUAAUGAUACCGACGAUCGAAUCUCGGGAAGUAACAGACCGAUGACAAAGGGAACAACGUAUGUUGUUAUGCGGUUUGACCGAUAAAGAUCUUCGUAGAAUAUGUGGAAACCAAUAUGAGCAUCCAGGUUCCGCUAUUGGUUAUUGACUGCAGAUGAGUCUCGGUCAUGUCUACAUAGUUCUCGAACCCGUAGGGUCCGCACGCUUAACGUUCAAUGACGAUCGGUAUUAUGAGUUUAUGUGUUUUGAUGUACCGAAGGUUGUUCGGAGUCUCAGAUGUGAUCAUGGACAUGACGAGGAGUCUCGAAAUGGCCGAGACAUAAAGAUUGAUAUAUUGGAUGACUAUAUUCGGACACCGAAUGAGUUCCCCGGGUCAUCAGAUAUAUAUCAGAGUGCCGAAAGGGUUAUCGGAACCACCGGAGAAGUAAUGGGCCUUAUUGGGCCUAGGGGAGAGAGAGGGGCUGCCAAGGGCUGGCCGCGUGCCCCCCAUGGGCCUAGUCCGAAUUGGACUAGGGGGAGGGGCGGCGCCCCCUCCUUCCUUCUUCUCCUAGUAGGACUAGGAAAGGGGGGAGUCCUACUCCUACUAGGAGGAGGAUUCCUUCCCCCUUGGCGCGCCUAUGAGGGCCGGCCGGCCUCCCCCUCCAUAUUUUAUAUACGUGGGGAGGAGGGCACCCUAGGACACACAAGUUGACAGUUGCCUUAGCCGUGUGCGGUGCCCCCUCCACAUAUUUCCACCUCGGUCAUAUCAUUGUAGUGCUUAGGCGAAGCCCUGCAUGCGUUGGUACCUUCAUCAUCAUCGUCAUCACGCCGUCGUGCUGACGAAACUCUCCCUCGGCCUUAGCUGGAUCAAGAGUACGAGGGAUGUCACUGAGCUGAACGUGUGCAGAUCGCAGAGGUGUCGUGCGUUCGGUACUUGGAUCGGUUGGACCGCGGAGACGUUCGACUACAUCAACCGUGUUACUAAACGUUUCCGCUUUCGGUCUACGAGGGUACGUGGACACACUCUCCCCGCUCUUUGCUAUGCAUCACCUAGAUGGAUCUUGCGUGUGCGUAGGCAAAUGUUUUUAAAUACUACGUUCCCUAAUAGUGGCAUCCGAGCCAGGUCUAUGCGUAGAUGUUAUAUGCACGAGUAUAACACAAAGAGUUAUGGGCGAUAAUAGUCAUACUGCUUAUCAGCAUGUCAUACUUUGAUUCAAUGGUAUUGUUGGAUGAAGUGGCUCAGACCGACAUUACGCGUACGCUUACGCGAGACUAGUUCUACCGACGUGCUUCGCACACAGGUGGCUAGUGGGUGUGUGUUUCUCCAACUUUAGUUGAAUCGAGUGUGACUACGCCCGGUCCUUGUUGUAGAUUAAAACAACAAACUUGACGAAAAAUCGUUGUGGUUUUGAUGCGUAGGUAAGAACGGUUUUUGCUAAGCCCGUAGCAGUCACGUAAGACUUGCAACAACAAAGUAGAGGACGUCUAACUUGUUUUUGCAGGUCAUGUUGUAUUGUGAUAUGGUCAAGACGUGAUUAUAUAAAUUGUUGUAUGCGAUGAUCAUGUUUUGUAACAAAGUUAUCGGCAACUGGCAGGAGCCAUAUGGUUGUCGCUUUAUUGUAUGAAAUGCAAUCGCCAUGUAAUUGCUUUAGUUUAUCACUAAGCGGUAGCGAUGGUCGUAGAAGCAAUAGUUGGCGAGACGACAACGACACUUCGAUGGAGAUCAAGGUGUCAAGCCGGUGACGAUGGUGAUCAUGACGGUGCUUUGGAGAUGGAGAUCGAAGGCACAAGAUGAUGAUGGCCAAAUCAUAUCACUUAUAUUGAUUGCAUGUGAUGUUUAUCCGUUAUGCAUCUUAUUUUGCUUAGUACGGUGGUAGCAUUAUAAGAUGAUCUCUCACUAAAUUUCAAGGUAUAAGUGUUCUCCCUAAGUAUGCACCGUUGCUAUAGUUCGUGGUGCCGAGACACCAUGUGAUGAUCGGGUGUGAUAAGCUCUACGUUCACAUACAACGGGUGCAAGCCAGUUUUGCACAUGCAGAAUACUCGGGUUAAACUUGACGAGCCUAGCUUAUGCAGAUAUGGCAUCGGAACACUGAGACCGAAAGGUCGAGCGUGAAUCAUAUAGUAGAUAUGAUCAACAUAGUGAUGUUCACCAUUGAAAACUACUCCAUCUCACGUGAUGAUCGGACAUGGUUUAGUUGAUAUGGAUCACGUGAUCACUUAGAUGAUUAGAGGGAUGUCUAUCUAAGUGUGAGUUAUUAAGUAAUUUGAUUAAUUGAACCUAAAUUUAUCAUGAACUUAGUACCUGAUAGUAUUUUGCAUGUCUAUGUUGUUGUAGAAAAAUGGCCAAUGCUGUUGUUCCGUUGAAUUUUAAUGCGUUCCUAGAGAAAGCUAAGUUGAAAGAUGAUGGUAGCAAUUACAUGGACUGGGUCCGUAACUUGAGGAUUAUCCUCAUUGCUGCACAGAAGAAUUACAUCCUGAAAGCGCCGCUAGGUGCCAAACCCGCUGCAGGAGCAACGCCAGAUGUUAUGAACACCUGGCAGAGCAAAGUUGAUGACUACUCGAUAGUUCAGUGUGCCAUGAUUUACGACUUAGAAGCGGGACUUCAACGACGUUUUGAAUGUCAUGGAGCAUAUGAGAUGUUCCAGGAGUUGAAGUUAAUAUUUCAAGCAAAUGCCCGGAUUGAGAGAUAUGAAGUCUCCAAUAAGUUCUACAGCUGCAAAAUGGAGGAGAAUAGUUCUAUCAGUGAGCAUAUACUCGGAAUAUCUGGAUACCACAAUCACUUGACUUAGCUGGGAGUUAACCUUCCAGUUGAUAGUUUCAUUGGUAGAGUUCUUCAAUCACUGCCAACAAGCUACAAAAGCUCCGUGAUGGACUAUAAUAUGCAAGGGAUGGAUAAGACAAGUCCCGAGCUCUUCGCGAUGCUAAAGGCUGCGGAGGUAGAAAUCAAGAAGGAGCAUCAAGUGUUGAUGGUCAACAAGACCACCCGUUUCAAGAAAAUGGGCAAUGGGAAGAAGGGGAACUUAAAGAAGAACGGCAAACAAGUUGCUCCUCAAGUGAAGAAGCCCAAGUCUAGACCUAAGCCUGAGACUGGGUGCUUCUACUUCAAAGGGACUGGUCACUGGAAGCAGAACUGCCUCAAGUAUUUGGCGGAGAAGAAGGAUGGCAAAGUGAAAGGUAUAUUUGAUAUACAUGUUAUUGAUGUGUACCUUACUAAUGGUCACAAUAGCGCCUGGGUAUUUGAUACUGAUUCUGUUGCUAAUAUUUGCAACUCGAAACAGGGGAUACGGAUUAAGCGAAGAUUGGCUAAGGACGAGGUGACGAUGCACGUGGGAAAUGGUUCCAAAGUCGAUGUGAUCGCCGUCGGCACGUUACCUCUACAUCUACCUUCAGGAUUAGUUUUAGACCUGAAUAAUUGUUAUUUGGUGCCAGCGUUAAGCAUGAACAUUAUCUGGAUCUUGUUUGAUGCGAGACGGUUAUUUAUUUAAAUUAGAGAAUAAUGGUUGUUCUAUUUAUAUGAAUAAUAUCUUUUAUGGUCAUGCACCCUUGAUGAGCGGUCUAUUUUUUACUAAAUCUUGAUAGUAGUGAUAGACAUGUUCAUAACAGUGAAGCCAAAAGAUAUAAGUUUAAUAAUGAUAGUGCAACUUAUUUGUGGCACUGCCGUUUAGGUCAUAUUGGUGUAAAGCGCAUGAAGAAACUCCAUGCUGAUGGGCUUUUGGAAUCACUUGAUACUUGCAAACUAUGCCUCAUGGGCAAGAUGACUAAGACUCCGUUCUCCGGAACAAUGUAGCGAGCAACAGACUUGUUGGAAAUAAUACAUACUGAUGUAUGCGGUCCGAUGAGUGUUGAUACUCGUGGCGGGUAUCGUAAUUUUCCGACCUUCAUAGAUGAUUUGAGCAGAUGUGGGUAUAUCUACUUGAUGAAACAUAAGUCUAAAACAUUUGAAAAGUUCAAAGAAUUUCAGAGUGAAGUGGAAAAUCAUCGUAACAAGAAAAUAAAAUUUCUACGAUCUGAUCAUGGAGGAGCAUAUUUGAGUUACGAGUUUGGUCUUCAUUUGAAACAAUACAGAAUAGUUUCACAGCUCACGCCACCCGGAACACCACAACGUAAUGGUGUGUCCGAACGUCGUAAUCGUACUUUAUUAGAUAUGAUGCGAUCUAUGAUGUCUCUCACUGAUUUACCGCUAUCGUUUUGGGGUUAUGCUUUAGAGACGACUGCAUUCACGUUAAAUAGGGUGCCAUCUAAAUCCGUUGAGACGAUGCCAUAUGAACUGUGGUUUGGCAAAAAACCCAAGUUGCCGCUUCUUAAAGUUUGGGGUUGCGAUGCUUAUGUGAAAAAGCUUCAGCCUGAUAAGGUCGAACCCAAAUCGGAGAAAUGUGUCUUCAUAGGAUACCCAAAGGAGACUGUUGGGUACACCUUCUAUCACAGAUCUGAAGGCAAGAUAUUCGUUGCUAAGAAUGGAUCCUUUCUAGAGAAGGAGUUUCUCUCGAAACAAGUGAGUGGGAGGAAAGUAGAACUUGACGAGGUAAUUGUAGCUACUCCCUUAUUGGAAAGUAGUUCAUCACAGAAAUCAGUUCCAGUGAAUUCCUACACCAGUAAGUGAGGAAGCUAAUGAUAAUGAUCAUGAAACUUCUGAUCAAGUUACUACAGAACCUCGUAGGUCAAGCAGAGUAAGAUCCGCACCAGAGUGGUACGGUAAUACCGUUCUGGAGGUCAUGUUACUUGACCAUGACGAACCUACAAACUAUGAGGAAGUGAUGAUGAGCCCAGAUUCCGCAAAAUGGCUUGAGGUCAUGAAAUCUGAGAUGGGAUCCAUGUAUGAGAACAAAGUGUGGACUCUGGUUGACUUGCGCGAUGAUCGGCAAACCAUAGAGAAUAAAUGGAUCUUCAAGAAGAAGACUGACGCGGACGGUAAUAUUACUGUCUACAAUGCUUGACUUGCUACGAAAGGUUUUUGACAAGUUCAAGGAGUUGACUAAGAUGAGACCUUCUCACCCAUAGCGAUGCUUAAGUCCUCCCGAAUCAUGUUAGAAAUUGCCGCAUUUUAUGAUUAUGAAAUUUGGCAAAUGGAUAUCAAAAUUGCAUUCCUUAAUAUUAUUGUCUACAAAUCUUGAAUUUAAUCCACCGGAGAAGAAAAAUAAUGAAGAAUCAUAAACUUGAAGAGCAUCUUCAUGAUAAAUCACCGGGUAAGAACAUUGAAGAAAGAAUGAAGAGACUUCACAUCAAUAAGAUGGAUACUUGAUUAAGAAAUCUGAUUCCUUGAAGGAAAAGGGUGGGAGGGCUGGAAAACAAAGACAACUUGGGACGGAUGAAACAAAUAACGUUGAGAAGACUUUGAGUUGAUCUUGCGGAUGUUGAAAUGAUCGGAUCCACUUGGAGAGAAAGACAUCGGUUGGAAAAGGAUUGACAUGACAAUCUCGAUUAUCAUCGAGGAUUUGCAUUCACAUCGAAAGAUGAGAACACCACUUAGAAAAGGUAUGGAAUCAACACUUGACAUUGAAACAACUCGAAUACCACAACUGAAAACAAAACAAAGGAUUUGGCUUGCAGAAUAAGCCGAAAACAAACAUAUGAUAGAUCCCAUAUCGUAUCAUGUGUCUGUUGGAAAGAUAUCCUACGAGAUACUUGAAUUCCCACUUAUAAACUCCUGAAACUUUCUGGUUAUGCAAUCAGGUGUUGGGGAUACAGGGGAAGCAUAAUAUCUCACUCAAACUAACAAUCCCUACAUCCAGCUGUAUCCGUCCUUCAACACAUAACCAAGAAACCUUCGGAAAUCAUGUACCUCAACCUUCGAAAAGCAUCCGUUAUACGAGUUAUGGCAAUACUCCUGAACUCCCGCCCCAGUACUGGGUGACAUCGAGGUUAUCUCACCAACAACUACAUAAAAGAGAUUUUCGAUGCCGGCGAACUCAGGUAUUCCAGAACUGCAACGAUAAAAUUGUGACGACAACACCUCGGAGAUCAACUCCCCGGGACACUGCCACAACCCCUAAAUGUUAGGAGGCACCCAGAACAAUGUUCUCGUCACAAGACUAUCGGAACGAUUCCAAGAUACCCGCGUGAUCCUAAUUUUUUUCGUGAAAUCCGAGGAGAGAAAAGUCAAAACUUCUACGUCAAGAGGCCUCACCAGAGCGACGAAGGGACUAAGGAGUAAAAAGAAUCCUACUCUCCGAUAUAUAUAUAUAUAUAUAUAUAUAUAUAUUCCUAAGACUCAAAACAUUUUGUUCUAGACUCAACAACAUCAGCGAUUCGAUCAAGCAGGGGGCUCCUAAGUCGGGGAUGGCUCUGAUUACCAACUUGUAACAACCAUAAUGCGGCUAUAUCUCCCACGUGUCGGGGCACGACUUAGAGGCAUAGCCGCAUGGUAGUUUUGUCGCAAGAGGAGUAAUCUUCAUACAAUCCCAUGUACUGAAUAAGAAAGGGAUAAUUCACACAAUACAUAAAAAAAUCAUACAUCAUCCAAUUACACUCAAAGACCGACCAUGGCCAGAACAAAGGAAGAUAACUGAUAACCCACAAGUAUAGGGGAUCGCAACAGCUUUCGAGGGUAGAGUAUUCAACCCAAAUUUAUUGAUUCAACACAAGGGGAGACAAAGAAUAUUCUCAAGUAUUAGCAGCUGAGUUGUCAAUUCAACCACACCUGGAAACUUAGUAUCUGCAGCAAAGUGUUUAGUAGCAAAGUAAUAUGAUAGUGGUGGUAGCGGCAACAAAAGUAAAGACAACAAAAGUAAUGUUUUUGGUAUUUUGUAGUGAUUAUAACAGUAGCGGCGGGAAAGUAAAUAAGCGUAAACCAGUAUGUGGAAAAUUUGUAGGCACCAGAUUAGUGAUGGAUAAUUAUGCCGGAUGCGGUUCAUCAUGUAACAGUCAUAACGUAGGGUGACACAGAACUAGCUCCAAUUCAUCAAUGUAAUGUAGGCAUGUAUUCCAUAUAUAGUCAUACGUGCUUAUGGAAAAGAACUUGCAUGACAUCUUUUGUCCUACCCUCCCGUGGCAGCGGGAUCCUAUUGUAAACUAAGGGAUAUUAAGGCCUCCUUUUAAUAGAGAACCGGAACAAAGCAUUAGCACAUAGUGAAUACAUGAACUCCUCAAACUACGGUCAUCACCGGGAGUGAUCCCGAUUAUUUUCACUUCGGGGUUGCCGAAUCAUAACACAUAGUAGGUGACUAUAGACUUGCAAGAUCGGAUCAAGAACUCACAUAUAUUCAUGAAAACACAAUAGGUUCAGAUCUGAAAUCAUGGCACUCGGGCCCUAGUGACAAUCAUUAAGCAUAGCAAAGUCAUAGAAACAUCAAUCUCAGAACAUAAUGGAUACUAGGGAUCAAACCCUAACAAAACUAACUCGAUUACAUGAUAAAUCUCAUCCAACCCAUCACCGUCCAGCAAGCCUAUGAUGCAAUUACUCACGCCCGGCGGUGAGCAUCAUGAAAUUGGUGAUGGAGGAUGGUUAAUGAUGACAACGGCGAUGAAUCCCCCUCUCCGGAGCCCCGAACGGACUCCAGAUCAGCCCUCCCGAGAGGUUUUAGGGCUUGGCGACGACUCCAUAUCGUAAAACGCGAUGAUUUCUUCUCUCUGAUUUUUUCUCUCCGAAAGCAAAUAUAUAGAGUUGGAGUUGGCGUCGGAGGGUUUCUAGGGGGCCCACGAGGUAGGGGGGCGCGCCCUAGGGGGGCGCCCCCCACCCUCGUGAGAAGGUUGUGGGCCCCCUGGUCUUCAUCUUUGGCGAGGAUUUUUUAUUGUUUUUUCUAAGAUGUUCCGUGGAGUUUCGGGUCAUUCCGAGAAUAUUUGUUUUCUGCACAUAAAAUAACACCAUGGUAAUUCUGCUGAAAACAAUGUCAGUCCGGGUUAGUUCCAUUCAAAUCAUACAAGUUAAGAGUCCAAAACAAGGGCAAAAGUGUUUGGAAAAGUAGAUACGACGGAGACGUAUCAACUCCCCCAAGCUUAAACCCUUGCUUGUCCUCAAGCAAUUUAGUUGACAAACUGAAAGAAAGAAAGAAAAACUUUUACAAACUCUGUUUGCUCUUGUUGUUGUAACUAUGUCAAGCCAGUAUUCAAGUUUUCAGCAUAGAUCAUAACUAACCACAUUUGCAAUAAUUCUCAGGUCUCAUAAUUACUCAUAUCAGUAGCAUAAUCAACUAGCAAGCCAUAAUAAUAAAUCUCGGAUGACAACAGUUUCUCAAAACAAUCAUAAUAUGAUAUAACAAGAUGGUAUCUCGCUAGCCCUUUCUGAGACCGCAAAACAUAAAUGCAAUAGCACCUUUAAAGAUCAAUGACUGACUAGACAUUGUAAUUCAUGGUAAAAGAGAUCCAAUCAUAGUCAUACCCAAUAUAAAUUAAUAGUGAUGAAUGCAAAUGACGGUUGUGCUCUCUAGCUAGUGCUUUUAAUAAGAGGGUGAUGACUCAACAUAAAAGUAAAUGGAUAGGCCCUUCGCAGAGGGAAGCAGGGAUUUGUAGAGGUGCCAGAGCUCGGUUUUGAAAUAGAGAUAAAUUGUAUUUUGAGCGGUAUACUUUCAUUGUCAACGUAACAACUAAGAGAUGGCGAUAUCUUCCAUGCUAAACACAUUAUAGGCGGUUUCCAAAUAGAAUGGUAAAGUUUAUACUCCCCCUCCCCCAACAAACAUCAAUCCAUGGCUUGUUCGAAACAACGAGUGCCUCCAACAUACAUCAGGUCCCAGGGGGAGUUUUGUUUGCAAUUAAUUUUGAUUUAGUUUGCAUAAAGCAUGGGACUGGGCAUCCCAGUGACCAGCCAUUUUCUCGUGAGUGAGGAGCGGAGUCCACUCCUCUUGAGAAUAACCCGCCUAACAUGGAAGAUAAGGACAGCCUUUGUUGAUGCAUGAGCUAUUCGAGCAUACAAAACAGAAUGUUUAUUUGAAGGUUUAGAGUUUGGCACAUACAAAUUUACUUGGAACGGCAGGUAGAUACCGCAUAUAGGAAGGUAUAGUGGACUCAUCUAGAAUAACUUUGGGGUUUAAGGGAUUGGAUGCACAAGCAGUAUUCCCGCUUAGUACAAGUGAAGGCUAGCAAAAGACUGGGAAGUGACCAACUAGAGAGCGACAACAACCAUGUACAUGCAUUAAAAUUAAUAAACAUUGGAUGCAAGCAUGAGUAGGAUAUAAUCCACCAUGAACAUAAAUAUCGUGAAGGCUAUGUUGAUUUGUUUCAACUACAUGCGUGAACAUGUGCCAAGUCAAGUCACUUAAAUCAUUCAAAAGAGGAUACCACCCCAUCAUACCACAUCAUAAUCAUCUCAAUAGCAUGUUGGCACACAAGGUAAAUCCUUAUAGCUCAUAGCUAAUCAAGCAUGGCACAAGCAACUACGAUCUCUAAUUGUCAUUGCAAACAUGUUUAUUCAUAAUAAGCUGAAUCAAGAACGAGGGACUCAUCAUAUUUACAAAAACAAAAGAGGUCGAGUUCAUACCAGCUUUUCUCAUCUCAGUCAGUCCAUCAUAUAUCAUCAUAAUUGCCUUUCACUUGCACGACCGAACAGUGUGAAUAAUAAUAAGAGUGCACGUGCAUUGGACUAAUCUGGAAUCUGCGAGCAUUCAAUAAACAGGAGAAGACAAGGCAAUAUGGGCUCUUGGUUAAAUCAACAAUAAUGCAUAUAAGAGCCACUUCAACAAUUUAAUUAUGGUCUUCUCCUACUGACCCCCAAAGAAAAGAAAAGAAAUAAAACUAUUUACACGGGAAAGCUCCCAACAAGCAAAAGAAUAACGGGAAAUAUUUUGGGGUUUUCUUCUUAAUUAUUAUUACUAUAGCAGAGAAAUAAACUACUACUAAUUUUUUUGGUUUUUCUUAAGGUUUAACUAACACACAAGAAGAAAGCAGGAAAAAGAAAAUAAACUAGCAUGGAUAUUACAGUGAAAAAGUAUGAGCACCGACAUCUAGCAAUGAGUGUGUGUGAACAUAAAUGUAAUGUCGGUGAGAAAUACGUACUCCCCCAAGCUUAGGCUUUUGGCCUAAGUUGGUCUAUGGCAACGGCUGGCCUGGCGGAUAUCCAUAACAAUAGUUGUUGGGGUCGUACUGUGAUGAGGAGGAAUAGUUGGGAUCAUGCUGAUGUGCAGCGGUUAUCGCCUGCUGAGCUGCAGCAUGGAGUCGAGCUGCCUCCGCUCUCCUCUCGUACUCUUCUGCCUCCUCUCUGGUAAUAACAUAUCUUUCUUUUGUCUGUGAAUCAAAGAAGGCAGGAGCAGUGAGAGUAAUACGGAAAACACGUCGUUUAUCAAAAAUUAAACGAUACAAGAGAGGUGAUUCAGUCCUCUCGACAAACUGGUGUGAAGCCAUAGUCAUAAUCUAAAUAUGCAGGAGGCAACUCCAUAUCACCCUCACGAAUGUCUAUCUCAAGAAAAUGAGCUAAGCGGGUUGCAUAAAUUCCUCCAAAGAAAUCUCCAUUAUGUCUAUUAUGAUGCAACCUACGAGCUACAAUGGCUCCCAUAUGAUAAGAUUGGUCUCCUAACACAGCACUCCUAAGAAUGCAAAGAUCAGGGACACACAUGUGACAUGCUUCAUCUUUAGCAUUUAUGCAUCUACCGAUGAAGAGAGCAAAAUAAUGUAUAGCAGGAAAGUGAAUGCUCCCUAUGGUAGCCUGCGUUAUAUCUCUAGAUUCCCUCACAGUUAUACUAGCAAGAAAGUUUCUAAAUUCAGAUUUAGGGGGAUCCCUAGCACUACCCCAUGAUGGAAGUUUGCAAGCAGAAGUGAAAUCCUCUAAGUCCAUGGUAUAAGAUUUGUCAUAGAGAUCAAACAUGACUGAAGGAGAAUUACGUGAAGAUGAAUACUCAAACCUCCUCACAAAUGAACUUGAGAGAUCAUGAUACUGGGGGCAUUUGUUAGCCUCAAAAUCCUCAAGACCGGAAUUGCGCAAAUAUGCUUUGAAUUCUUCUUUAAUUCCCGCACGGUCCAUAAAAUUUUCCGACGGCCAUUCGCAAGGCCGUACUGGAGCGUCUCAUGGUGGAUCCUUGUCAGCAUCGCGCAUAGCAAUCCUGGGUCCUUGCUUCUUAGAGGAACCACCUUGGAACAUCUUCCUAAGCAUAUUGUUUUUCUCUGAAAAAUUCUGAAAUUUUUAGUAACUUCAAAAUAAAAGUAAACCAAACUCAAUAAUAUUGAUAGCAACUACUCCUACAAGUGCCUAGAGCCUAUAUCAAGCAUUAGAACUACUUAGAACCAUAUAAAUUUGACAUGCAAGCUCAAGAACAUGGUCACCUAUGCAGCACAAAUUUGCAAAGAAUAAAGCACUAGAACAAAAACUAAUUGGACCAAUGGAGGAGUUACAUACCAAGGAACAAUCUCCCCAAGCAGUUUUGCGAGAGGUGCUUUGAGCAAGGAGAUUGAAAAUCAUAACAAAAGUGGCUGGAACUCGUGCUUGAGUUGGUUUUCGGGUUUGUGUAAGAUAGAGGAAGAAGAUGGGUGAUGGAAUAAGUGGAGGAGUGCCACCGUGGGCCCAUGAGGCAGGGGGGCACGCCCUAUAGGGGGGGCGCCCACCACCCUCGUGGCCAGGUGGCAGCUCCUCCCGCAGUAAUUUUUGCACAGUAAAUCCUCAAAUAUUCCCGAAAAAAUCAUAUUAAAUUGGCUUGGCAUUCUGAGGACUUUUAUUUUCGGGAUAUUUUUAUAUUGCACGGAUAAGUCAGGAAACAGACAGAAAAAUACUAUUUUUACUUUAUUUAAUAUAAAUAACAGAAAGUAUAGAGAUGGUACAGAAGGUUGUGCUUCUAGUUUCAUCCAUCUCAUGCUCAUCAAAAAGAAUCCACUAACAAGGUUGAUCAAGUCUUGUUAACAAACUCAUUCCGAUAAUCAUGGAACCGGAGAAAUUUCGAAUAAUGACUAGGUUACCUCAACGGGGAUAUGCACAUCCCCUAUAAUAAGUAUAUCAUAUUUCUUCUUGACAGUUGGUAGAGGAAAUUCAAAAUCUCCAAAUAUAAUCGAUGGAAUUUUUCCAAUAGAGUUGAUACUAUGAACUUGAGGUUGUUUCCUCGGAAAGUGUACCGUAUGAUCAUUACCAUUAACAUGAAAAGUGACAUUGCCUUUGUUGCAAUCAACAACAGCCCCUGCAGUAUUAAGAAAAGGUCUUCCAAGAAUAAUAGACAUACUAUCAUCCUCGGGAAUAUCAAGUAUAACAAAGUCCGUUAAAAUAGUAACGUUUGCAACCACAAUAGGCACAUCCUCACAAAUACCGACAGGUAUAGCAGUUGAUUUAUCAGCCAUUUGCAAAGAUAUUUCGGUAGGUGUCAGCUUAUUCAAGUCAAGUCUACGAUAUAAAGAGAGAGGCAUAACACUAACACCGGCUUCAAGAUCACAUAAAGCAGUUUUAAUAUAAUUUCUUUUAAUGGAGCAAGGUAUAGUAGGUACUCCGGGGUCUCCAAGUUUCUUUGGUAUUCCACCCUUAAAAGUAUAAUUAGCAAGCAUGGUGGAAAUUUCAGCUUUUGGUGUCUUUCUUUUAUUAGUAAUGAUAUCCUUCAUAUAUUUAGCAUAAGGAUUUGUUUUGAGCACAUCAGUUAAUCUCAUAUGCAAAAAGAUAGGCCUAAUCAUUUCAGCAAAGCGCUCAAAAUCCUGAUCAUCCUUUUUCUUGGAUGGUUUCAGAGGAAAAGGCAUGGGUUUCUGAACCCAAGGUUCCCUUUCUUUACCAUGUUUCCUAGCAACAAAGUCUCUUUUAUCAUAACGUUGAUUCUUUGAUUGUGGGUUAUCAAGAUCAACAGCGGGUUCAAUUUGUACAUCAUUAUCAUUACUAGGUUGAGCAUCAUCAUGAACAUCAUUACUAAUAUUUUUAUUAGGUUCAUGUUCAUUACCAGGUUGUGUUUCAGCAUCAGACAUAGAUAUAUCAUUUGGAUUAUCAGGUGGUUCAGGAAUAGGUUCACUAGAAGUUUGCACAGUUCUAUCAUUUUUCUUCUUCUUCUUUUUAGAAGAACUAGGAACAUCAAUAUUAUUUCUUUGAGAAUCUUGCUCGAUUCUCUUAGGGUGGCCUUCAGGAUACAAAGGUUCCUGAGUCAUUCUACCCGUUCUAGUAGCCACUCUAACAACAUAAUCAUUUUCUUACUAUCCAUUUCAUUAAGCACUUCUUUUUGAGCCUUAAGUACUUGUUCUACUUGAGUGGUAACCAUAGAAGCAUGUUUGCUAACAAGUUUAAGUUCACCUUUAAUAUCAGCCAUAUAAUCACCCAAGCGUCUAAUCAUAUAAGCAUUUUCUUUUAAUUGUCUACCAAAAUAAGCAUUGAAGUCGUCUUGCUUAAACAUAAAAUUAUCAAACUCAUCCAAGCACUGACUAGCAAUUUUAGUAGGAGAGACUUCAGCUUUAUCAUAUCUAUAAAGUGAAUUUACCUUUACUACCUGUGUCGAGAUAUCGGCAUCAGGAGGUUCUUCAGUAAAUAAAGAAUUGAGAUCAUAUGUUUCUUCAACAGGCGGUAUAUUAAGACCAUGUAUUUCUUCAAUAGGAGGUAAAUUCUUAACAUCUUCAGCUUUAAUACCUUUUUCUUUCAUAGAUUUCUUUGCCUCUUGCAUAUCUUCAGGACUGAGAAAUAGAACACCUCUCUUCUUCGGAGUUAGUUUAGCAAUAGACUCAGUAAUUGGAGCAGGAGUUGGCUCAGGAGGUGCCCAAUUAUUUUCAUUUGUCAACAUAUUAUUCAAUAGGAUUUCAGCUUCAUCCGGUGUUCUUUCCCUGAAAAGAGAACCAUCACAACUAUCCAGGUAAUCUCCGGAAGCAUCGGUUAGUCCACUAUAAAAGAUAUCAAGUAUUUCGGGUUUCUUAAGAGGAUGAUUAGGCAAAGCAUUAAGUAACUUGAGAAGCCUCCCCCAAGCUUGUGGGAGACUCUCUUCUUUAAUUUGCACAAAAUUGUAUAUUUCCCUCUAAGCAGCUUGUUUCUUAUGAGCAGGGAAAUAUUUAGCAGAGAAGUAAUAAAUCAUAUCCUGGGGACUACGCACACAACCAGGAUCAAGAGAAUUAAACCAUAUCUUAGCAUCACCCUUUAAUGAGAACGGAAAUAUUUUGAGUAUAUAGAAGUAACGCGAUCUCUCAUCAUUAGUAAACAGGGCAGCUAUAUCAUUUAAUUUAGUAAGAUGUGCCACAACAGUUUUAGAUUCAUAGCCAUAAAACGGAUCAGAUUCAACCAAAGUAAUUAUAUCAGGAUCAACAGAGAAUUCAUACUCCUUAUGAGGGACACAAAUAGGUGAAGUAGCAAAAGCAGGGUCGGGUUUCAUUUUAUCUCUAAGUGAUUCUUUGUUCCAUUUAAUUAAUAACCUCUUAAGCUCAUAUCUAUCUUUGCAAGCUAAAAUAGCGGCAGAAGAUUCCAUAUCAAGAAGAUAGCCCUCAGGAAUAACAGGCAUAUUUUCAUCAUCACUAUCAUCAUCAUAUUCAGAUUCAAUAAUUUCUUUUUCUCUAGCCCUAGCAAUUUUUUCAUCAAGAAAUUCACUAAGGGGCACAGUAGUAUCAGGCAUAGAAGCAGUUUCAUCAUAAGUAUCAUGCAUAGCAGAAGUGGCAUCAUCAAUAACAUGCGACAUAUCAGAACGAAUAGCAGAAGCAGGUCUAGGUGUCGCAAACUUACUCAUAACAGAAGGUGAAUCAAGUGCAGAGCUAGAUGGCCGUUCCUUACCUCCCCUCGUAGUUGAGGGAUAGAUCUUGGUUUUUGGAUCUCUCAAGUUCUUCAUAGUGUCUAGCAGAUAUAAAUCCCAAGUGACUCAAAGAAUAGAGCUAUGCUCCCCAGCAACGGCGCCAACAAUUAGUCUUGAUAAUCCACAAGUAUAGGGGAUCGCAACAGCUUUCGAGGGUAGAGUAUUCAACCCAAAUUUAUUGAUACGACACAAGGGGAGCCAAAGAAUAUUCUCAAGUAUUAGCAGCUGAGUUGUCAAUUAAACCACACCUGGAAACUUAGUAUCUGCAGCAAAGUGUUUAGUAGCAAAGUAAUAUGAUAGUGGUGGUAGCGGCAACAAAAGUAAAGACAGCAAAAGUAAUGUUUUUGGUAUUUUGUAGUGAUUGUAACAGUAGCAGCGGGAAAGUAAAUAAGCGUAAACCAGUAUAUGGAAAACUCGUAGGCACCGGAUCAGUGAUGGAUAAUUAUGCCGGAUGGGGUUCAUCAUGUAACAUUCAUAACAUACGGUGACACAAAACUAGCUCCAGUUCAUCAAUGUAAUGUAGGCAUGUAUUCCGUAUAUAGUCAUACGUGCUUAUGGAAAAGAACUUGCAUGACAUCUUUUGUCCUACCCUCCUGUGGCAGCGGGGUCCUAUUGGAAACUAAGGGAUAUUAAGGCCUCCUUUUAAUAGAGAACCGGAACAAAGCAUUAGCACAUAGUGAAUACAUGAACUCCUUAAACUACGGUCAUCAUCGGGAGUGGUCCCGAUUAUUGUCACUUCGGGGUUGCCGGAUCAUAACACAUAGUAGGUGACUAUAGACUUGCAAGAUUGGAUCAAGAACUCACAUAUAUUCAUGAAAACAUAAUAGGUUCAGAUCUGAAAUCAUGGCACUCGGGCCCUAGUGACAAGCAUUAAGCAUAACAAAGUCAUAGCAACAUCAAUCUCAGAACAUAAUGGAUACUAGGGAUCAAACCCUAACAAAACUAACUCGAUUACAUGAUAAAUCUCAUCCAACCCAUCACCGUCCAGCAAGCCUACGCUGCAAUUACUCACGCACGGCGGUGAGCAUCAUGAAAUUGGUGAUGGAGGAUGGUUGAUGAUGAAGACGGCGACGAAGCCCCCUCUCCGGAGCCCCGAACGGACUCUAGAUCAUCCCUCCCGAGAGGUUUUAGGGCUUGGCGGUAGCUUCGUAUCGUAAAACGUGAUGAUUUCUUCUCUCUGAUUUUUUCUCUCCGAAAGCAAAAAUAUAGAGUUGGAGUUGGCGUCAGAGGGUUUCCAGGGGGGCCCACGAGGUAGGGGGGCGCGCCCUAGGGGGGGGGGGGCGCCCCCACCCUCGUGAGAAGGGUGUGGGCCCCUGGUCUUCAUCUUUGGCGAGGAUUUUUUAUUGUUUUUUCUAAGAUGUUUCGUGGAGUUUCAGGUCAUUCCGAUAAUAUUUGUUUUCUGCAUAUAAAACAACACCAUGGUAAUUCUGCUGAAAACAGCGUUAGUCCGGGUUAGUUCCAUUCAAAUCAUACAAGUUAGAGUCUAAAACACGGGAAAAAGUGUUUGGAAAAGUAGAUACGACGGAGACGUAUCAAUAACCCCAAAUGCUAGAUCCCCGACCGUCCUAACUGGGCUCCACUACUGAUCAACUGGAGAAGACACAAAACUACGAUCAAGAUCUUCAUCGAGCUCCCACUUGAACUCAGUUGCAUCACCUGCACUGGUAUCAUCGGCACCUGCAACUGUUUGGAAGUAUCUGUGAGUCACGAGGACUCAUCAAUCUCACACCUGCGAGAUCAAGACUAUUUAAGCUUAUGGGUAGGAGAAGGUAGUGAGGUGGAGCUGCAGGAAGCACUAAACAUAUAUGGUGGCUAACAUACGCAAAUAAGAGCGAGAAGGGAAGCAACGCAAUGGUCGAGAAGCUAGAAGUGAUCAAGAAGUGAUCCUGAAACUACUUACGUUCAAGCAUAACACAAGAUCGUGUUCACUCCCCGGACUCCGCCGAAAAGAGACCAUCACGGCUACACACACGGUUGAUGUAUUUUAAUUAAGUCAAGUGUCAAGUUCUCUACAACCGGACAUUAACAAAUUCGCAUCUGCCACAUAAACGCGGGCACUGAUGAAGCUGUGUAUCUAGGGUAGGGUCAUGGAUCUGUCCAAACUGACCUACCCAAGGACAUCUCGAGAAGAAAUCAUCUUUCAAUCGACUCUAAGGUGUCUCACUCGACAGACUUGAAGAUACUCGACCAAGAAGCAAUCACUCGACCGGUACCAAGCCACUCGACGGUCAGGUGACCUAAAGGCACUCCGCAUGCUAACGGUCGGUUAUUAAGUAGCUUUUAUGGUCAUCAUAGCGCUUUAUUACUAGCAUUACCAGUAACGCCCUGCCUUAAUGUACAUUGAACCCUUUGUAUCGUGGGCUGGCUGGGGUCUUGGCGCACUCUAUAUAAGCCACCCCCUCCUCCGAAACAAGGGUUCACACGCCUGUAAUUCACACACGCAUAAUCCAGUCGACCGCCUCCGGGCUCCGAGACGUAGGGCUAUUACUUCCUCCGAGAAGGGCCUGAACUCGUAAAUCUUGCGUUCUUACAACUCCUCUAUAGCUAAGAUCUUGCCUCUCCAUACUUACCCCCCUACAUCACUGUCAGACUUAGAACCAUGACAGUUGGCGCCCACCGUGGGGCAGGUGUUUUAGCGUUUUGUUGGAGGAGUUGCGAUCUUUUCCGACCCGAAUCAUCAUGGUUUUCGGCGGAGUUUUGGUGGAGGGCCGCAAGAUCCGUCUCGGCGCGCUCACGUUCAUCGCCGAUGACUCCACGUGGCUUCAGGAGGCUCCGCUCGAUGUGGACGCACUCCCUGUCCAUGGGGCAACGCACUUUAGCGCGUGCGCCCGCAGUGUUCUCCUGCGGCAACCGUUGACCCCCUACCGGUCGGAUCCUGUUGUCCUCCCUCCCAGUUUCCCGCCGGCGCAAGCGCUCUGGUCGGUCGAGACUCCAGCGGUGGGUGAGACACGCGGUGGCAUGCCAGUCGGCCACCCCUCAAGUCGCAUCGAGCCCGACGAAUCCCUCUACGGCCUGUUCGACUUGUCGACCGGCUCCGUAGAGACCGCAUCCGAGUGCGACAGCAGCGACCCGACGGCGGAGGUUCUAAUGGUCGAUGGACCUCCCAGUCCUCCCGGUUUUCCCCGCACCGACGGAGGCGCGGGUAGAGGCGACUCGUCGUGUCCUCAUGAGGAAUAUCUUCCCGAGCCUCUCACGUUGCUGCAGAGAGAAGAACUUCGCCGCCGGAACAUGGAUGCAUUACACACUCCUAUCAUUGGAGAAACCCCCGAGGCUCGUGCCUUGGAGGACACGCGCCUGGCAAACUUGGCCGAGCGCACUCGACUGGAGAACCUCCAGCGAGCACUCAAUGAGCGUGCGCGACAAUGGGUUCCCGAAUCCAGUCGAUGUCAGCUCUUCCCGCCCCCACAGGUAUAUCGAACUCCGAUUCAGAAUUUAGCAGCUGCAGCCCGCAUAGCAGAGUCGAUUCAGCCUUCCCAGUCGGAGGCUGGCAGAGGCUUGCUGCAGAUCAGAGCGUUGCUCCGGGCAGCAGGAGACAAGAAUUCUGCUAUUUCUCAGUUGCAGAACAAGAUCCACAGUAGAUCCGUUGCCGCAGACACAGUCCAGUCGGCUCAUAGCCCAAGAUCGCCCCCAAGGCGUGAGGGACGUGGGGACCGGCAUAAUCAGCAUGGUAACCGUGAGCAAUAUGAUCACCGAUUCGAUCGUGAUGAUCGACGUCGAGUGCCCACCCCUCCCCCGAGGAGCGGGUCGUAUGUGCCUCGACAAUAGGAUGAUAGGCACCCUCGUAGUGUUGGGCGAAGGAUUCCCGUCAACUCCAGGGAGCCAGGCUUCGAUGCGGGAUCCAUUCUCGUUCAAGGUUUGGUUGACAAGAACAAAGCUCACCGGGAAGGACACGACAGAGAUGCUCCUACCAGUAGCAGAGCACAUGUUUCGGGACCAGAGUGCUUUAGUAGAGCCAUCAGGGCCGUUGUGAUUCCUCCCAACUUCAGGUUGGCGACUGGAGUCAGCAAGUUCACUGGCGAGUCCAAGCCCGAUACUUGGCUUGAAGACUACCGAGUGGCCGUCCAGAUUGGCGGCGGCAAUGACGAGGUGGCCAUGAAGCACCUGCCUCUCAUGUUGGAGGGCUCGGCCAAAGCGUGGCUGAACCAGUUAGCACCCAGCAGCAUUUACACUUGGGAAGAUCUCGCCCGAGUGUUUGUCACCACAUUCGAAGGAACAUGCAAACGACCGGCAGGGUUGGCGGAACUGCGGUCCUGCGUGCAGAAGCCGAAUGAAACCUUGAGGGAUUACAUCCAGAGAUGGAUCAGUUGCACCGCAUGGUAGAGAAUGUGCCUGACCACCAAGCAGUCUGUGCCUUCAAAGAAGGCGUCAAGUAUAGAGAACUGAAUCUGAAAUUCGGUCGAACCGGAGAUAUGUCUCUGAACCGAAUGAUGGAGAUUGCCACCAAGUACGCUAAUGGAGAAGAUGAGGAUCAACUCCGGAGUGGCAAGCUGAAGUCAGUCGCCCAAGAAACCGGAGGAAAUUCCAAUCGGAAACAGAAGUGGAAAGCCGAGCCAGCUGCUCCUGGGGAAGCCUUGGCUGUGACUCAAGGAAAGUUUAAGGGGAAACCCAAAGGACCUUGGAACCCCAAGAAAGUUAAAGACCAGGAUAGGAAUGAUGUGUUGGAUUUGCCGUGCCUCGUCCACACCAAGAAAGAUGAAGAGGGUAAUUUUAUUUACCCAAAACAUACCACUCGACAGUGUCGACUCUUGAUCCAGCAGUUCCAGGGCAAGCAGCCCAAAGAUAAAGAAAAGGAGUCAGACAAAGUUGAGGACAAGGAAGAUAGCGACGAUGGAUACCCCCAAGUCAAUUCCACCCUGAUGAUUUUUGCUGAUGUUGAGAGCAAAAGUCGACUGAAAGUCAUCAACCGAGAGGUGAAUAUGGUUGCUCCGGCAACACCAAGUUAUUUGAAAUGGUCUCAGACUUCCAUCACAUUCGACCAGUCCGAUCACCCAACGCAUAUUGCCACCCCUGGGAGGCAAGCUCUGGUGGUUGACCCAGUGGUUGAAGGCACUCGACUGACCAAAGUCUUGAUGGAUGGUGGCAGUGGUUUGAACAUAUUGUAUGCUGAGACGUUGAAAGGGAUGGGCAUUCUGAUGUCCAGACUCAGUGCCAGCAACAUGAGUUUCCAUGGAGUCAUUCCUGGGAAGAAGGCUGAAUCACUCGGCCAGAUUGCUCUUGAUGUGAUUUUCGGUGAUUCCAAGAAUUACCGCAAAGAAAAGUUGACAUUUGAAGUUGUAGUAUUCCAGAGUGCCUACCAUGCUAUUUUGGGCAGGCCGGCUUAUGCACGCUUCAUGGCCCGACCAUGUUAUGUGUAUCUCAAAUUGAAGAUGCCUGGCCCCAAAGGUGUGAUCACUAUUACGAGCAAUCGGAAGAAAGCGGAAGAAUGUUUUCAGAAAGGUUCAAAGAUCGCUGAUGCUCAGAUGGCAGUGGUGGAGUUCCAGGAAUACCAGAAGACUGCAGACCUGAGUGAUUUGUUGUGAGCCAAGAAGCCCACCACAGAAUCAGCUUUUCAGUCGACUGGCGAUACGUAGGGAUGGCAAUGGGUAGGGUAUGGGCGGGUACAACCUCCUUCUACGCAAACCCAUACCCACAGAAAAUUUCUAUACCCACCCAUUUCAAUACCCAUGGGCAUAAAUUGGCACCCAUGCCCAUACCCAUCGGGUAUCCUAUACCCAAUGGGUAUCCAAUGGAUAUAAUAUAUAGCAUUUAAAAUUUUAAAAUAUAUAGAAAUGGUUUUAAAAUUCUAGUGAUCAUGGACGAGUAGUAUAUCACUAACACGGCCUACUAUGGUGGGUGGCUCUUGGAGGAUUCAAGGGAGUAUGAGCGGCGGUUAGUAGAAACCCGGUAUAGUGGGUGGUCGUGCUAGGAAUGGGGAAUCGCUGGAUCAAACGUUGGAUAGGAGUCUGAUAAUGAAGAGUCAAGAUUUCAACUUUUCAACGAGUCACAUAGAAUGCGUGAGGAGUGGCGAGCAGGUGAUUACGGGCCUAUGAGCUAUGGCCAAUUUAAGGAAUCGAGACUUAGGGUGGGCCAUAGGAGCGGAUGAUGACCCCACAUGUCAUAGGAGUUAUUUUCAUUUAUUAAUUGUUUCUGGGUAUCCAUUGGGUAACCCAUGGGCGCAAUGUCAUACCAAUAUCCUACCCAUAUAUUUUGCGGGUAUGGAUACCCAUUACCCAUGGGUACAAAAUCUCUUCAAGUCUUGCCCAUACCCAUUGUUUUCGGGUAGGGUACCCGCGGGUACCCAUACCCAUGGGAAAAACUGCCAUCCCUAGCGAUACGAAGACAGCUCACAUCCACCCGACCGAUCCCGGCGCUGCUCCGACUCAUAUCUCGACAGCACUCGACUCCAAAUAGGAAGAAGCGCUCAUCCAGUUCCUCCGUGAGAACUGGGACAUUUUCGCAUGGAAGCCUUCUGACAUGCCAGGUGUUCCCAGGGAGCUGGCUGAGCAUCGCCUGAGAGUCGACUCAAAAGUAAAACCUAUCAAGGAACAUCUCCGGCGGUCCGCCGUCCAGAAGAGAAAGGCCAUUGGCGAGAAGGUGGCUCGGCUCUUAGCAGCGGAGUUCAUCCGAGAAAUUUACCACUCCGAGUGGCUCCCAACGUUGUUAUGGUCCCCAAGAAGGACAAGUCACUUUGCAUGUGCAUUGACUUUAAACAUAUCAAUCGGGCCUGCCCGAAAGAUCAUUUUCCUCUCCCCCGCAUCGAUCAGAUAGUCGACUUGACUAUGGGAUGUGAGCGAUUGUCUUUUUAGACGCCUAUUCCGGGUACCAUCAGAUCCGUCUGUAUGGACUUGACGAGAUCAAAACAGCUUUCAUCACUCCAUUCGGGUGCUUCUGUUAUGUUACCAUGCCGUUCAGCCUCAAGAAUGCCGGGGCCACAUUCAUGAGGAUGAUUUAGAAGUGUUUGCUCACUAGAAUCAGUCGGAAUGAGGAGGCGUAUAUGGAUGAUAUUAUGGUCAAGUCAUAGAAGGGUUCUGACCUGCUGGCUGACCUUGCUGAAACAUUUGCCAACCUCAGGAGGUAUGAUAUGAAGCUUAAUCCAUCAAAGUACACAUUCGGAGUUCUUGGCGGAAAAUUACUCGGUUUUCUCGUUUCCGAACGGGGAAUCGACGCCAAUCCAGAAAAAGUCGGCACUAUACUCCGAAUGAAAAGUCCUGUGCGAGUGCACGACGUCCAGAAGCUUACUGGUUGCUUGGCCGCUUUAAGUCGAUUCAUAUCUCGUCUCGAUGAAAAGGCAUUGCCCCUUUACUGAUUGAUGAAGAAGUCCGACAAGUUCGAGUGGACUCCUGAAGCUGAUGCAGCGUUUGCAGAGCUCAAAGCUCUGCUCUCCACCCAGCCGGUGCUUGCUGCCCCAAUCAGUAAGGAGCCUUUGCUGCUUUACAUUGCAGCCACGGGACAAGUCGUCAGUACGGUACUUACGGUCGAGCGGGAAGAAGAAGGAAAAGCCUUCAAAGUUCAGCGCCCAGUAUAUUAUAUUUCUGAAGUUUUGACCCCGUCGAAGCAAAGAUAUCUUCAUUAUCAGAAGCUUGUAUACGGGAUUUAUAUGACCACAAAGAAAGUUGCUCAUUACUUCUCUGAUCAUUCCAUUACAGUCGUCAGCGACACUCCAUUGUCAGAGAUCCUGCAUAACAGGGAUGCAACCGGUCGAGUGGAAAAAUGAGCGAUUGAACUCCUUCCUCUAGGUAUCAAGUUUGAGGCAAAGAAAGCUAUUAAGUCCCAGGCAAUCGCAGAUUUCGUCGCCGAGUGGAUUGAACAGCAGCUGCUGACUCAGGUUCACUCGGAGCAUUGGACCAUGUUCUUCGAUGGUUCCAAGAUGCUGAAUGGUUCCGGUGCCGGAGUAGUGUUGGUCUCCCCCAGAGGAGAUAAACUCAGUUAUGUUCUUCAAAUCCACUUUGACUCCUCCAACAACGAGGCAGAAUACGAAGCACUUUUGUAUGGGUUGCGCAUGGCCAUUUCACUCGGCGUCCGUCGCCUCAUGGUCUAUGGCGACUCAGAUUUGGUGGUUAAUCAGGUGAUGAAGGAAUGGGACGUCAGAAGUCCAGCCAUGACUGGUUAUUGCAAUGGAGUGAGAAAGCUGGAGAAGAAAUUUGAGGGGUUAGAGCUUCAUCACAUACCCCGACUGAAAAAUCAAGCAGCUGAUGAUCUGGCAAAAAUAGGUUCCAAAAGAGAAGCCAUCCCCAGCAAUGUGUUUUUGGAACACAUUCAUACCAUCAGUUCAGGAGGAUCCCUUCAGUGAAGAGGCCCCGCAGCCAAAAAGCGCCACGGAUUCGACUGAAGUUGAAAUUCCAGCUGUAGUCUACCUGAUCAUGGAAGUCUUGGUCAUCACUCCUGACUGGACAGUACCGUACAUUGCAUACAUCCUAAGGAAAGAGCUCUCAGAGGACGAAGAAGAGGCUCGACAGAUCAUCAGCUAUAUAAAGGACAGUUAUAUAAAGAAAGCGCGACUGGAGUCAGUCAGAGGUGUAUUACACCAGAAGAAGGUCGGAUGAUCCUUGAUGAUGUCCACUCGGGGACAUGUGGUCACCAUGCGUCCUCUCGGACCAUUGUGGCUAAAGCAUACCGAGCGGGAUUCUACUGGCCAAGAGCCAAUGAAAUGGCAAAAGAGAUAGUCGACAAGUGUGAAGGAUGUCAGUAUUACUCAAAUAUGCCGCACAAGCCCGCGUCAGCCCUGAAAACCAUUCCACUCGUCUGGCCCUUCACUGUUUGGGGGCUGGACAUGGUUGAACCACUGAGAACAGGCAGGAGCGGCUUCACUCAUGUGCUAGUAGCAGUCGACAAGUUCACCAAAUGGACUGAAGCCAAGCCUAUCAAGAAUCUUGACGCUUGCACUGCUAUCAGUUUUGUUAGAGGGUUGAUAUUCAGAUAUGGAGUUCCGCACAGCAUCAUCAGUGACAAUGGGUCAAACUUCGAUUCUGACAAAUUCAGGGCCUUUUGCGCCUCUCAGGGUACCCGAGUGGACUAUGCUUCGGUCGCUCACCCCCAGUCGAAUGGGCAAGCAGAAAGGGCAAACGGCCUAAUUCUCAAAGGGCUGAAACCCUGGUUGAUGCGUGAUCUCAAGCAUGCAGCAGGUGCAUGGGUCGACGAGCUUCCAUCAGUCCUUUGGGGAUUGAGGACAACCCCGAACUGAUCGACCGGAAGAACCCCAUUCUUUCUGGUCCACGGAGCCGAGGCAGUCUUGCCGAGUGACCUGCUUCACAACGCCCCCCGAGUCGAGCUCUACUCUGAAGAUGAAGCAGAACAAGCCCGGUAGGACGCAGUCGACCUCCUGGAAGAAGAAAGAGAAAUGGUCAUGAUCCGAUCGACCGUCUACCAACAAGACUUGCAUCGAUUCCAUGCCAGAAAUGUGAAGGGUCGAGCCUUCCAAGAGGGAGACUUAGUCCUCUGAGUGGAUCAGCAGAAACCACACAAACUCGCCCCUACUUGGGAAGGCCCCUUCAUAGUCACCAGAGUCCUUCGCAAUGGAGCAUACCACCUCUACAAUGUCGAUCGCCAGAUUGAUGAGCCGCGAGCCUGGAAUGCGGAGCUACUCCGCCCCUUUUAUACUUGAAUUCUCACUCGGAUGAGAUGUAAUAAGAAAAAACUAUUGUAGUUUACUUUUCAAAGACAAGAGCGUUAUAAUUUUCCCAGUGAUUGUUAUUGUUUUUUGUUUGCGAAUGAAAUCCCCCAGUGGGUGGCUUAGCUGCAAAUCCGUUUCGCCUAAGUUUGAAAAAAAAUCCUACCGAGUGGAGAGCAGUCCUCCCACUCAGGGGCUUAGCUGCAGUCCAGUACUCGCCUAAGUUCUCUCACUUGAGGACUUAGCUGCAGUCAGGCACUCGCCUAAGUUUGAAAAAAUCCUACCGAGUGGAGAGCAGUCCUCCCACUCGGGGGGCUUAGCUGCAGUCCAGUACUCGCCUAAGUUCUCUCACUUGAGGACUUAGCUGCAGUCAGGCACUCGCCUAAGUUUGAAAAAAAUCCUAUCGAGUGGAGAGAAGUCCUCCCACUCGGGGGCUUAGCUGCAGUCCAGUACUCGCCUAAGUUCUCUCACUUGAGGACUUAGCUGCAGUCAGGCACUCGCCUAAGUUUGAAAAAAUCCUACCGAGUGGAGAGCAGUCCUCCCACUCGGGGGCUUAGCUGCAGUCCAGUACUCGCCUAAGUUUUCUCACUUGAGGACUUAGCUACUGUCAGGCACUCACCUAAGUUUGAAAAAAUCCUACCGAGUGGAGAGCAGCCCUCCCACUCGGGGACUUAGCUGCAGUCCAGCACUCGCCUAAGUUUGAAACACAUCCCGCUCUGCAGUAACAAGGGGCAGGUCGACUGCCGCCUCCUCCUUGGGGAGCUUCGCCACAAAUACAACAUACGAUCCAUCGCUGACCCGCAAAGACAACGAGGUGCAGGUCGACUGCUACCGUCUCCUUCGGAGCUGCGCCGCAAAUACAAAGGUUGUCUCGAAUAAAGAACGAUUUCCACUCGACGGGGAAUGCAUAAAGAUAUUCGACAAUAAACCAAGUUCGGAUAAAUCCUAAAGGUUUUUGGACCACAAAUCAAAGUGCUCGAGCAUUCCACCCGAAAGAGUUUAACGGUUACAAAAACCACUCGGCAUUCCGAGGCGAAUUUAAAGUGAGGCAUAAAAGUUUGUUCACUCCGCAGGAGGAGGGCUGGCAGGCUCGACGAAUUCAUCCAGGUCGACGCCGUCCGAGUGGCUGCAGCAAUGAAAGUCUCCAUAAAAGUUCGGAAGUCAUGUUUCUGGGUGUUGGCGACCUUGAUUGCUGCCAGUUUGUCUUGUCGCACCUCCUUGUAGUGGACACGAACCAAAGACAGAGCCACAUCAGCGCCACACCGAGCAGCAGACUUCUUCCACUCCUGCACUCGGUUAGGGAUUUCAUUUAGUCGAGUCAUCAGGGACUCAAGAUCAUUUUGGAGCACAGCCUCUGGCCAAAGUGCCGAGUCGAUCCGCGACAUGGCGACCUUCAGUCGAGCCAAGUAGUCCACGACACCGUCAAUGCGGGAUUCUAGUCGUACCAGAUUCAUGGCAGUUUCAUCUUUCAUAGGAGAAUUGAUUGGAUCCAAACCAGGUUUGAUCCGCCCAGUAUCCUCCUCGAAGUUCUGGCAAAACUCUGCAUCACGAUCCAAGGAUAAGUCAAUUUACAUAUGCCGACUGGACACAAAAAAAAUCAAUCAGAACAAAAUGUGCACCUUCAAGCUUGAUGAACAACUUCUUGGCAAGACUCCUCAGGUAGCUCUCCAGAUCGUCCCUCCUGCGAGCAAUGCUUUCCAUCUUCUCGCCCAGGAUGAGAUUCUCCUUCUUCCAGCGCGAGCACUCCUUAUUGGCGUCAUUCAGAGCAGACUUCAGCCUAGUAUUCUCUUCUUCCAAAUGGCCGACCGAAGCCAGUUUCUGUGCAGCUAGAGCGGUUUUGUUGUCAGCCUCCUUUCAAGCAACAUACAAAUCCUGGUCCUUCUUCGCCAGAGCUUCUCUCAGUUUUUCUACAAAGAAAUGAUGCCUGAUUCAGAAAGAGCAGAAGGGAACUCAAGCUUAAGAUAGACCAGUCGACAAAUUCGUCUUACCAGUGGCGUCGUCCUUGACCCUUUGUAGCUUUGUCUUGGCCAGCUCCAAGUCAAGGUUCAGUUGGAUCUGCUGUUUCUCCAAGUCGGCAAAGCGAGCUCCAAGAUCACAAGAUUUCUGAAAUCAAAGGGGAGAAGUUAUUUUUACAGCAAAAAAUGUUACUAAGGCUACGGUCGACUGCCUGCAGUCCACCAUAGCCUCGGGGACUACACCCAGCGGGUGCACUUUGCGUGCCCCCACCGGUUCUGAUCCCACUCGACCGACCCGCCAGAGUCGAGUGCAGGGAGUAAAAAAAAGGGGGGGACAGAAAGAGCUCAGACCACAGUCGACUGCCAGCAGUCGACCGCGGUCUCGGGGACUACACCCAGUGGGUGCACUUGGCGUGCCCCCACCGGUUCCGACCCCACUCGACCAGACCGAGUGGAAGAGACAAACUAUCAAUUCGGUUUACACUCGACAAGAUACAAAGACUACAGUCGACUGCCCGCAGUCCACCGCAGUCUCGGGGACUACACCCAGUGGGUGCACUCAGCGUGCCCCCACUAAUUCAAAGUUCAAGCAACGCACCCAGUGGGUGUACUAACGCAAAGAUUUUUAGAAAGGAGUCUUCAGAUAUCAUAUCCUAACAGAACAAGCGGCGACCAACUAACCUGAACGUUGCUUUGGAGAGCCGAGCUGGCGUCGUAGGCAGCCUAACUGGCGUCUCGCACCAUCUUCAUCUUCUCCAUCAUGACACCCGCCUGGCGUAUAGCUUCCCUGGCAGCAUUCACUUCGUCUUCUGGGACAUGAUGGGUCGCAAAAACCGAAGGUGGGUCGACAGGGGCCUGAGCAGUCGACGAAGAAGGAAGGCACUCGACAGUGGCACGACGAAGGUAACAGAACCCCGAUUGGCGUCGCCAGCGUCCUGAACGACUGGUUCUGCCCUCGUUGUCGACCGUAGCGCCUCACUUGUAGGAGCUUGCCUACUCUUCCUCGUCAAAGGCCUCUCGGGCUCUUCAUCAUCAUCAGGGAGGUCAAUAAUGUUGGGAGCUGUGCAGGGUGCAAUUGCCAAAGUCACAUCACCCAAUGAUGCACAUUGCAAUUGGAUCGACCAAACAAAGACAGUACGGCAGAAAUCAUACCCAGAUUAGAAGUGACCGCAUCCUCCAUCACCUCGUCCUCGUCCCUGUAAGCUGAGGUCCCGGAAGUGGCAGCACUGACAAUCCCAAAGUUCGUCCAGUUAAAACAAGAAAAACAAACAUCAUGAAGCGUCGAGUGAAUACGAAAGGGGACACUCACACGGAAGCAACGGGGAUGUCAAUAUUAAUCUUCGGCAACGCCUUCCGAGUCUUCAGCUCUGCAACUUUGGGGUGCUUUGGCGCUUUCUCAGUCGGGGUUGGUGAAGAGACCCGAGGACGCUUCGAAGACUGACCAGCUUGAGCAGUUACCUUUUCACUGGCACUCGGUCUUUCUUGGUCGAGCUUGGAUCGCCUCUCCCGGCGAGGAGGUGACUCGACUUCUUCUCCAUCACUUGAGUCGUCGCUUCCUCCACCCCUUCACCGUUGGAAGUCCACUCGCCACUGUCGCCGCCGCUUGCCUCUCCUUCUAGAGCUUGCUCUUGCUCUCCGUUGGGCAUUGAAUACAUUUCAAUAAUGGCCUGAAAGAAAGCAGGGAGAACAAAGUCAGUCGACGCAGUGUAUGCAAGAGCGAAUUCAAGUUACAAAGCAAAAACUCAGAAUCAGACCUUCUCUGGUGCAUGAGACUGGUCGAAUGGAGGGACUCUCCUGGCUUCCCUGGGGUUGUCCUUGUUCCCGGUAAUGCCCGACAGCCACUUCUCCAGUGUGUCAUCGUCGACCUCCUCCGGGUGGAUCCGAGUGGAGUCUUCAAGACCCGAAUACAUCCACAUUGGAUGGUCUCGGGCUUGAAGAGGCUGGAUGCACCCCUGAAGGAAGACCUCCAAGAGAUCCAUACCGGUGACCCCGUCACGGAUAAGCUGGACCACUCGAUCGACCAGCACCCUUACCUGCGCCUUCUCCUCCGGGAGCACCUUCAAAGGGGAGGGUUUCCUCACUCGGUCCAUGGUAAAGGGAGGGAGGCCAGUCGACUGCCCUGGCGUCGACUGGUCCUUACAGUAAAACCAGGCCGAUUGCCAUCCGCGGACUGAGUUGGGAAGAAUCAUGGCCGAAAAAGAACUUUUCCCUCUCAUCUGGAUACCAAGACCCCCACACAUCUGAAUCACUUGCGUCCUCUCGUCACUCGGGUUAGCCUUUUUCACCGUCUAGGAGCGACAAGUGAAAAUGUGCUUGAAAAGACCCCAGUGAGGCCGGCAACCCAGGAAGUUCUCACACAAAGAAAUGAAAGCGGCGAGAUAAAUGAUUUUGUUGUGAGUAAAGUGGUGGAGUUGUGCCCCAAAGAAGUUCAGAAACCCUCGAAAGAAAGGGUGAGGAGGCAAGGAAAAUCCACGGUCGACGUGGGUGGCAAGAAGAACACGCUCACCCUCCCGAGGUUGCGGCUCAGAUUCCUUCCCCGGAAGCCGCGCCGAGUCAUAGGGGAUCAGCCCCCCUUCGGCCAGGUCGUCGAGGUCUUCUUGGGUGAUCCUCGAGUGGAUCCAGUCGCCCUGGAUCCAGCCCUUCAGCAGGCUGGUUCGCGAGAAAGAUCCGCCCCGGCUGGUCGCCUUCCCCUUCGACCUCGCCGUCGCCUUCUUUGCCCGCUCCAGAGCCGCCGUAUUCUCCUUCCCCAUUGUCGCCGGCGAGACGCGUACGGAGCGGUGGCGCUGGGGCGAGAGCGAGCGCAGCGGAGGGGCAUGAAGAGGAGAAGAGGUAAUGGGAACACACUGUUCGGGAGACUCCAGUCCAACGCCUUAUAUGAGGCCGCUUCCGAGUGGCUGACGGGUAGGCCCAAGCGGCUCUGUCAAAUCCCGUAACAAUCGCGCGCGCGAUACGUGGCGAAAAAGGUGGCGCAGGCAUCGAGGCGGCUCUGCUCUAUCCCAUCCGAUUACUGCGGCCUCCCCCGUCCCGCGCGCUUCCCAAAAUUCGGAUCCCAUGAAAUCCGCGGAUAGUAGAACAACUUGUCAAACCAAAGAUCUCCUCGCACCGUCGCUCAGAGCCUUUCGAGUAAAGAAACUCACUCGACGAAGAAUUAAGAAUGGAUCAAGGCGACUGGAAAGGAAGUCGCUGUCAACACUCGGGUUCAUUGAUCCGAAACAAGGUAUGCUCGGGGCAUGAAAAACGAGUCGGAAAAAUGCUCAAACCCUGUCCCACUCAAACCUCGAUCCAUUCGGGGGCUAAUGAUGAAGCUGUGUACCUAGGGUAGGGUCAUGGACCUGUCCAAACUGACCUACCCAAGGACAUCUCCAGAAGAAAUCAUCUUUCAAUCGACUUGAAGGUGUCUCACUCGACAGAUUUGAAGAUACUCGACCAAGAAGCAAUCACUCGACCGCUAGCAAGCCACUCGACGGUCAGGUGACCUAAAGGCACUCCACAUGCUAACGGUCGGUUAUUAAGUAGCUUUUAUGGUCAUCAUAGCACUUUAUUACUAGCGUUACCAGUAACGCCCUGUCUUAAUGUACAUUGAACCCUUUGUAUCGUGGGCUGGCUAGGGUCUUGGCGCACUCUAUAUAAGCCACCCCCUCCUCCGAAACAAGGGUCCGCACGCCUGUAAUUCACACACACAUAAUCCAGUCGACCGCCUCCGGGCUCCGAGACGUAGGGCUAUUACUUCCUCCGAGAAGGGCCUGAACUUGUAAAUCUUGCGUUCCUACAACUCCUCUAUAGCUAAGAUCUUGCCUGUCCAUACUUACCCCCCUACAUCACUGUCAGACUUAGAACCACGACAGGCACGGCUCUCGAAAGUUUAUACCCUGCAAGGGCGUCCCAACUUAGCCCAUCACAAGCUCUCAUGGUCAACGAAGGAUAUUCCUUCUCCCAGGAAGACCCGAUCAGUCUCGGAAUCCCGGUUACAAGACAUUUCGACAAUGGUAAAACAAGACCAACAAAGCCGCCCGAUGUGCCGACAAAUCCCGGUAGGAGUCGCACGUAUCUCGUUCUCAGGGCACACCGGAUGGGCCAGACGUCAGGUUGGCAUAGACCCUGGUUGCCCAAGGGGCGCCGGACAUCGCCCAGGUUGGACCAACACUCAGAGGAGCACUGGCCCGGGGGGGGGGUAAAUAAAGAUGACCCUCAGGAUCCGGAAACCCAAGGGAAAAAGGCUUAGGUUGUUAGGCAAAUGUAAAACCAUGGUUGGGCCUUGCUGGAGGAAUUUUUUUGAAAGCGAACUAUCAAGGGGUUACCAUAACACCCAACCGCAUAAGGAAUGCAAAAUCAAGAAACAUAACACCGGUAUGACAGAAACUAGGGUGGCAAGAGUGGAACAAAACACCAGGCAUAAGGCCGAGCCUUCCACCCUUUACCAAGUAUAUAGAUGCAUUAAUUAAAUAAGAGAUAUUGUGAUAUCCCAACAUAUCCAUGUUCCAACAUGGAACAAACUUCAGCUUCACCUGCAACUAACAACGCUAUAAGAGGGGCUGAGCAAAGCAGUAACUUAGCCAAACAACGGUUUGCUAGGAAAUGUGGGUUAGAGGCUUGACAUGGCAAUAUGGGAGGCAUGAUAUAACAAGUGGUAGGUAGCGCGACAUAGUGAUAGAACGAACAACUAGCAAGCCAAGAUAGAAGUGAUUUCGAGGGUAUGGUCAUCUUGCCUGAGAUCCCGCAAGGAAGAAGAGCGAGUCCAUGAAGAAGACAAACGGACGUAGUCAAAUGGGUCCUCACAACUCCGGAACGAAACCGAAGCUAACGAGAGAAGCAACUUGGAAAGAAGCAAGCAACAUAGUAAACAACCAUCACAUAAACAUGGCAUGAUGCACAACCAAGUAUGAUGCAUGUUCGGUUUAAUGAGGCAUGGCAUGGCAAAGUGCACAAGCAAAACUACAAGUUAAGUGGAGUUCAAUAUGCAACGAGUUGCAUAUUGACGAAACACCACAUUCAAUUAUUUAGUUCACUCCCGGUUAUGUACCUGAUACGUCUCCAAUGUAUCUAUAUUUUUUGAUUGCUCCAUGCUAUAUUAUCUACUGCUUUGGACUAUAUUGGGCUUUAUUUUCCAAUUUUAUAUUAUUUUUGGGACUAACCUAUUAACCGGAGGCCCAACCCAGAAUUGCUGUUUUUUUGCCUAUAUUCAGUGUUUCGGAGAAACAAAAUAUCAAACGGAGUCCAAACGGAAUAAAACCUUCGGGAACAUGAUUUUUCUCACCGAACGUGAUCCAGGAGACUUGGACCCUACUCCAAGGAGUCAAAGAGGAGGUCACGAGGGUGGGGGCGCCCCCUAGGGCGCGCCCCCUGCCUCGUGGGCCCCUCGGUGCUCUACCGAUGUACUCCUUCCUCCUAUAUAUACAUACGUACCCCCAAACGAUCAGAACAGGAGCCAAAAACCUAAUUCCACUGCCGCAACUUUCUAUAUCCACGAGAUCCCAUCUUGGGGCCUGUUCCGGAGCUCCGCCGGAGAGGGUCGUCAUCAUAGAGGGCUUCUACAUCAUCCUAGCCCCUCCGAUGAAGUGUGAGUAGUUUACCUCAGACCUUCGGGUCCAUAGUUAGUAGCUAGAUGGCUUCUUCUCUCUCUUUGAAUCUCAAUACAAAGUUCUCCCCCUCUCUUGUGGAGAUCUAUUCGAUGUAAUCUUCUUUUUGCAGUGUGUUUGUUGAGACUGAUGAAUUGUGGGUUUAUGAUCAAGUCUAUCUAUGAAUAAUAUUUGAAUCUUCUCUGAAUUCUUUUAUGUAUGAUUGGUUAUCCUUGCAAGUCUCUUCGAAUUAUUCAUUUGGUUUGACCAACUAGAUUGGUAGUUCUUGCCAUAGGAGAAGUGCUUAGCUUUGGGUUCGAUCUUGUGGUGUCCUUUCCCAGCGACAGAAGGGGCAGCAAGGCACGUAUUGCAUCGUUGCCAUCGAGGAUAACAAGAUGGGAUUUAUUUCAUAUUGCAUGAAUUUAUCUCUCUACAUCAUGUCAUCUUGCUUAAAGCCUUACUAUGUUUUUAACUUAAUACUCUAGAUGCAUGGUGGAUAGCGGUCGAUGAGUGGAGUAAUAGUAGUAGAUGCAGAAUCGUUUCGGUCUACUUGUCAUGGACGUGAUGCCUAUAUACAUGAUCAUGCCUAGAUAUUCUCAUAACUAUGCUCAAUUCUAUCAAUUGCUCAACAGUAAUUUGUUCACCCACCGUAGAAUACUUAUGCUCUUGAGAGAAGCCACUAGUGAAACCUAUGGCCCCCGGGUCUAUUCUCAUCAUAUCAAUCUCCAUCACUUUAAUCUUGUUUUUAUUUUUUUACUUUGCCUUUACUUUUUACUUUGCAUCUUUAUACCAAAAAUACCAAAAAUAUUAUAUCUAUCAGAUCUCACUCUCGUAAGUGGCCGUGAAGGGAUUGACAACCCCUAAUCGCGUUGGUUGCGAGUAGCUAUCGUUUUGUGUAGGUAUGAGGGACUUGAGCGUGGCCUCCUACUGGAUUGAUACCUUGGUUCUCAAAAACUGAGGGAAAUACUUACGCUACUCUGCUGCAUCAUCCCUUCCUCUUCGGGGAAAACCAACGCAAGCUCAAGACAUAGCAAGAAGGAUUUCUGGCGCCGUUGCCGGGGAGUCUACGCAAAAAUUCAACAUACCAAGUACCCAUCACAAUCCCUAUCUCUCGCAUUACAUUAUUUGCCAUUUGCCUCUCGUUUUCCACUCCCCCACUUCACCCUUGCCGUUUUAUUCGCACUCUCUCUCUCUAUCCUCCCUCUUUAUUUGCCUCUUUUGCCCGCUUGCCUCUUGUUUGCUCGUGUGUUAGAUUGCUUGUUUGUCGCGAUGGCUCAAGAUAAUACUAAAUUGUGUGACUUCACCAAUACCAAUAAUAAUGAUUUCCUUAGCACUCCGAUUGCCCCUCUUACCGAUGCUGAAUCUUGUGAAAUUAAUACUGCUUUGUUGAAUCUUGUUAUGGAACAUCAACUCGCCGGCCUUCCUAGUGAAGACGCCGCUACUCAUCUGAAUAGCUUCGUUGAUUUAUGUGAUAUGCAAAAGAAAAAAUAUGUCGAUAAUGAUGUCAUUAAAUUGAAGCUAUUUCCUUUUUCGCUUAGAGAUCAUGCUAAAGCUUGGUUUUCGUCUUUGCCUAAAAAUAGUAUUGAUUCUUGGAACAAGUGCAAAGAUGCUUUUAUCUUUAAGUAUUUCCCUCCCGCUAAGAUCAUCUCUCUUAGAAACGAUAUUAUGAACUUUAAGCAACUUGAUCAUGAACAUGUUGCACAAGCUUGGGAGAGAAUGAAAUUAAUGAUACGUAAUUGCCCUACUCAUGGUUUGAAUUUGUGGAUGAUUAUACAAAAAUUUUAUGCCGGAUUGAAUUUUGCUUCUAGAAAUCUUUUAGAUUCGGCCGCGGGAGGCACUUUUAUGGAAAUCACUUUAGGAGAUGCUACUAAACUCCUAGAUAAUAUUAUGGUUAAUUAUUCUCAAUGGCAUACUGAAAGAUCUUCUAAUAAAAAAGUGCAUGCGAUAGAAGAAAUCAAUGUUUUGAGUGGAAAGAUGGAUGAACUUAUGAAAUUAUUUGCUACUAAGAGUGUUUCUUCUGAUCCUAAUGAUAUGCCUUUGUCUACUUUGAUUGAGAAUAACAAUGAAUCUAUGGAUGUGAAUUUUGUUGGUAGGAAUAAUUUUGGUAACAACGCUUAUAGAGGGAAUUUUAAUCCUAGGCCAUAUCCUAGUAAUCCUUCUAAUAAUUAUGGGAAUUCCUACAGCAACUCUUAUGGAAAUUAUAAUAAUAAGCCCUCUGAAUUUGAGAAUAGUGUUAAAGAGUUUAUGAAUUCACAAAAGAAUUUUAAUGCUUUGCUUGAAGAGAAAUUGCUUAAAGUUGAUGAUUUGGCUAGAAACAUUGAUAGAAUUUCUCUUGAGAUUGAUUCUUUAAAGAUUAGAUCUAUUCCUCCUAAGCAUGAUAUCAAUGAGUCUCUCAAAUCCAUGAGAAUUUCCACUGAUGAGUGCAAGGAAAGAACCGCUAGGAUGCGUGCUUCCAAAGAUGCCUUUAUUAAAGCGUGUUCUUCCAAUUCCUAUGAAAAUCAAGAUGAAGAUCUAAAAGUUAUUGAUGUGUCCCCUAUUAAAUCUUUAUUUUGCAAUAUAAAUCUUGAUGAAACUGAAUAUGAUCUUCCUUUACCUAGAAGGCGUUCUAAAAAUUCGGAGUAUUUAGAUCUUAAUGAUGAAAUUGAUGAAAGCGGGAUUGAAAGAAAUAAAAAUCUAGAUGUUGCUAAACCAACUAUAUUGGAUUUCAAGGAAUUUAAUUAUGAAAGUUGCUCUUUAAUUGAUUGUAUUUCCUUGUUGCAAUCCGUGCUAAAUUCUCCACAUGCUUAUAGUCAAAAUAAAGCCUUCACCGAACAUAUUGUUGAUGCCUUGAUGCAACCUUAUGAAGAAAAACUUGAGUUGAAAGUUUCUAUCCCUAGAAAACUCUAUGAUGGGAACCAACUAUUAAAAUUAAAAUUAAAGAUCAUGUGUUUUAUGCUUUGUGUGAUUUGGUUGCUAGUGUCUCUACUAUUCCCAAGACUUUGUGUGAUUUACUAGAUUUUCGUAAUUUUGAUGAUUGCUCUCUAAACUUGCAUCUUGCGGAUUCUACUAUUAAGAAACCUAUGGAAAGGAUUAAUGAUGUUAUUAUUGUUGCAAAUAGGAAUUAUGUGCCCGUAGAUUUCAUUGUUCUUGAUAUAGAUUGCAAUCCUUCUUGCCCUAUUAUUCUUGGUAGACCUUUCCUUAGAACGGUUGGUGCGAUUAUUGAUAUGAAGGAAGGGAAUAUUAGAUUUUAAUUUACAUUAAAAAAGGGCAUGGAACACUUUCCAAGAAAUAAAAUAAAAUUACCAUAUGAAACUAUCAUGAGAGCCACUUAUUGAUUGCCUACCAAAGAUGGCAAUACCUAGAUCUAUCCUCGCUUUUAUGCCUAGCUAGGGGCGUUAAACGAUAGUGCUUGUUGGGAGGCAACCCAAUUUUAUUUUUAUUCCUUGCUUUUUGCUCCUGGUUAGUAAUAAAUAAAUUAUUUAGACUCUGUUUUGGUUGUGUUUUUUGUGUUUAAUUAGUGUUUGUGCCAAGUAGAACCGUUGGGAAGACUAGGGGAAAGUCUUGUUGAACUUUCUGUAAAAAAACAGAAACUUUAGCGCUCACGAGAACUGCUGUCAUUUUUAUUUGAAGAGUGAUAUUUAGUUAAUUCUUUUUGAAUAUGAUUAAUAGAUAAAUUCCUCACGUCCAGCAAUUUAUUUUAGAAUUUUUGGGGUUCCAUAUCUUGCGCUAGCAACAGAUUACUACAGACUGUUCUGUUUUUGACAGAUUCUGUUUUUCGUGUGUUGUUUUCUUAUUUUGAUGAAUCUAUGGCUAGUAAAAUAGUUUAUAAUCCAUAUAGAAGUUUGAAUAUAGUAGGUUUAACACCAAUAUAAAUAAAGAAUGAGUUCAUUACAGUACCUUGAAGUGGUCUUUUGUUUUCUUUCGCUAACGGAGCUCACGAGUUUUCUAUUUUGAGUUUUGUGUUGUGAAGUUUUCAAGUUUUGGGUGAAUUCUUGUGAUGGAUUAUGGAACAAGGAGUGGCAAGAGACUAAGCUUGGGGAUGCCCAUGGCACCCCCAAGAUAAUCCAAGGACACCAAAAAGUCAAAGCUUGGGGAUGCCCCGAGAGGCAUCCCCUCUUUCGUCCACUUCCAUCGGUAAUUUACUUGGAGCUAUAUUUUUAUUCACCAACAUGAUAUGUGUUUUGCUUGGAGCGUCUUGUAUUAUUUGUGUCUUUGUCUCUUAGUAUGCCACAAUCAUCCUUGCUGUACACACCUUUUGAGAGAGCCAUACAUGAAUUAAAAUUUGAUAGAAUACUCUAUGUGCUUCACGUAUAUCUUUUGAGCUAUGAAGUUUUGCUCUAUGUGCUUCACUUAUAUCUUUUGAGCUAUGUAGUUUUGCUCUAUGUGCUUCACUUAUAUCUUUUGAGCAUUAUAAUUUUGCUCUAUGUGCUUCACUUAGAUCUUUUAGAGCACGGUGGUGGAUUUGUUUUAAAGAAACUAUUGAUCUCUCAUGCUUCACUUAAAUUAUUUUGAGAGUCUCUUAAUAACAUGGUAAUUUGCUUAAUAAUAAUAUGCUUGGUAUUCAAGAUUUGUGAAACUUUCUUUUGAGUGUGUUGAAUACUAAGAAAAGAUUGAAGCAUGAUAAUUGUUUUGAGGUAUGGAGGUUAUAAUAUUAAAGUCAUGCUAGUUGAGUAGUUGUGAAUUUAAAGAAUACUUGUGUUAAAGUUUGUGAUUCCCGUAGCAUGCACGUACGGUGAACCGUUAUGUGAUGAAGUCGGAGCAUGAUUUAUUUAUUGAUUGUCUUCCUUAUGAGUGGCGGUCGGGGACGAGCGAUGGUCUUUUCCUACCAAUCUAUCCCCCUAGGAGCAUGCGCGUAAUACUUUGCUUUGAUAACUUCUAGAUUUUUGCAAUAAGUAUAUGAGUUCUUUAUGACUAAUGUUGAGUCCAUGGAUUAUACGCACUCUCACCCUUCCACCUUUGCUAGCCUCUCUAAUACCGUGCACUUUUCGCCGGUAUCAUACACCUACCAUAGACCUUCCUCAAAACAGCCACCAUACCUACCUAUUAUGGCAUUUCCAUAGCCAUUCCGAGAUAUAUUGCCAUGCAACUUUCCACCGUUCCGUUUAUUAUGACACACUCCAUCAUUGUCAUAUUGCAUAUCCCGGUACACCGUCGGAGGCAUUCAUAUAGAGUCAUAUUUUGUCCUAAGUAUUGAGUUGUGAUUGUUGAGUUGUAAGAAAAAUAAAAGUGUGAUGAUCAUCAUUAUUAGAGCAUUGUCCCAGUGAGGAAAGAAUGAUGGAGACUAUGAUUCCCCCAUAAGUCGGGAUGAGACUCCGGAAGAAAAAUAAAAUAAAUAAAAAAAGAGGCCAAAGAAGCCCAAAUAAAAAGAGGCCAUAAAAAAGAGAGGAGAAAAGGCCCAAAUAAAAAUAAAAAAAUGAGAGAAAAAGAGAGAAGGGACAAUGUUACUAUCCUUUUACCACACUUGUGCUUCAAAGUAGCAACAUGAUCUUCAUAGUAGAGAGUCUCUCAUGUUAUCACUUUCAUAUACUAGUGGGAAUUUUACAUUAUAGAACUUGGCUUGUAUAUUCCAAUGAUGGGCUUCCUCAAAUUGCCCUAGGUCUUCAUGAGCAAGCAAGUUGGAUGCACACCCACUUAGUUUCUUUUUGAGCUUUCAUAUACUUAUAGCUCUAGUGCAUCCGUUGCAUGGCAAUCCCUACUCACUCACAUUGAUAUCUAUUGAUGGGCAUCUCCAUAGCCCGUUGAUACGCCUAGUUGAUGUGAGACUAUAUUCUCCUUUUUAUCUUCUCCACAACCACCAUUCUCUUCCACCUAUAGUGCUAUAUCCAUGGCUCACGCUCAUGUAUUGCGUGAAGAUUGAAAAAGUUUUGAAAAAGUUAGAGUAUGAAACAAUUGCUUGGCUUGUCAUCGGGGUUGUGCAUGAUUUAAAUACUUUGUGUGGUGAAGAUAGAGCAUAUCCAGACUAUAUGAUUUUGUAGGGAUAACUUUCUUUGGCCAUGUUAUUUUGAGAAGACAUAAUUGCUUUGUUAGUAUGCUUGAAGUAUUAUUAUUUUUAUGUCAAUAUAAACUUUUGUCUUGAAUUUUUCGAAUCUGAAUAUUCAUACCACAAUUAAGAAGAUUUGCAUUGAAAUUAUGCCAAGUAGCACUCCGCAUCAAAAAUUCUCUUUUUAUCAUUUACCUACUCGAGGACGAGCAGGAAUUAAGCUUGGGGAUGCCUGAUACGUCUCCAACGUAUCUAUAAUUUUUGAUUGCUCCAUGCUAUAUUAUCUACUGUUUCGGACUAUAUUGGGCUUUAUUUCCCAAUUUUAUAUUAUUUUUUGGACUAACCUAUUAACCGGAGGCCCAGCCCAGAAUUGCUGUUUUUUUGCCUAUUUCAGUGUUUCGGAGAAACAGAAUAUCAAACGGAGUCCAAACAGAAUAAAAUCUUCGGGAACGUGAUUUUCUCACCGAACGUGAUCCAGGAGACUUGGACCCUACUCCAAGGACUCAAAGAGGAGGUCACGAGGGUGGGGGGCGCCCCCCCAGGGCGCGCCCCCUGCCUCGUGGGCCCCUCGGUGCUCCACCGACGUACUCCUUCCUCCUAUAUAUACAUACGUACCCCCAAACGAUCAGAAUAGGAGCUAAAAACCUAAUUCCACCGCCGCAACUUUCUGUAUCCACGAGAUCCCAUCUUGGGGCCUGUUCCGGAGCUCCGCCGGAGAGGGCCGUCAUCACGGAGGGCUUCUACAUCAUCCUAGCCCCUCCUAUGAAGUUUGAGUAGUUUACCUCAGACCUUCGGGUCCAUAGUUAGUAGCUAGAUGGCUUCUUCUCUCUCUUUGAAUCUCAAUACAAAGUUCUCCCCCUCUCUUGUGGAGAUCUAUUCGAUGUAAUAUUCUUUUUGCGGUGUGUUUGUUGGGACCGAUGAAUUGUGGGUUUAUGAUCAAGUCUAUCUAUGAAUAAUAUUUGAAUCUUCUCUGAAUUCUUUUAUGUAUGAUUGGUUAUUUUUGCAAGUCUCUUCGAAUUAUCUGUUUGGUUUGGCCAACUAGAUUGGUAGUUCUUGCCAUGGGAGAAGUGCUUAGCUUUGGGUUCGAUCUUGCGGUGUCCUUUCCCAGUGACAGAAGGGGCAGCAAGGCACGUAUUGCAUCGUUGCCAUCGAGGAUAACAAGAUGGGGUUUAUUUCAUAUUGUAUGAAUUUAUCUCUCUACAUCAUGUCAUCUUGCUUAAAGCGUUACUCUGUUUUUAACUUAAUACUCUAGAUGCAUGGUGGAUAGCGGUCGAUGAGUGGAGUAAUAGUAGUAGAUGCAGAAUCGUUUUGGUCUACUUGUCACGGACGUGAUGCCUAUAUACAUGAUCAUGCCUAGAUAUUCUCAUAACUAUGCUCAAUUCUGUCAAUUGCUCAACAGUAAUUUGUUCACCCACCGUAGAAUACUUAUGCUCUUGAGAGAAGCCACUAGUGAAACCUAUGGCCCCCAGGUCUAUUCUCAUCAUAUCAAUCUCCAUCACUUUAAUCUUGUUUUGCCUUUUACUUUGUCUUUACUUUUUACUUUGCAUCUUUAUACCAAAAAUACCAAAAAUAUUAUAUCUAUCAGAUCUCACUCUCGUAAGUGGCCGUGAAGGGAUUGACAACCCCUAAUCGCGUUGGUUGCGAGUAGCUAUCGUUUUGUGCAGGUACGAGGGACUUGAGCGUGGCCUCCUACUGGAUUGAUACCUUGGUUCUCAAAAAUUGAGGGAAAUACUUACGCUACUCUGCUGCAUCGUCCCUUCCUCUUCGGGGAAAACCAAUGCAAGCUCAAGACGUAGCAGUACCCAACAAUAUUAAAUGUUCAUAACAUGGAAAGAGGUGAAACAUGAGUAAAAAAUACACAGUUGGUAUUUUAAAUGAGGCCGGAAACAUCAAACAACAAUCAGUAAAUCCUCAUGUGCAUUAGUAAUUUAAUGCAACAACAAUUUUAAACAUUUUAAAUGUUGUUAUCAUGAUGCGGAUGACAUGUGCAAGUUUUUAAACAUUUUUUUAUGAAAAUGUUGAUAAGUGCAUGUUAUGAAGCAUUUGUCAUCAUGACGGAAAUGAAAGGGGUGCCACGACAACGACAACGGAAAUGAUGCCAUGACAACAUUCCGAUGUGCGAAACAUGCAAGAGUGACGGGGAGAGGGAGUGAGGCGCAGGUGGGACUCACGCGAGGCAGCCAUGGGCAUCGAGCGCUGGAGAACGGGCGCAGGGCACUGCGGCCCUGUGCACGAGCGAGGAGAGGGAGAGAUAUGGGGAUCGGGCGCGAGCGCGUGCGCUCUGUCCCUGGCGGCGUGAGAUGGACCGGGGGAAGGGAGCGAGGGGUGAGGGAGCUGAACGACUAGGGUUAAGUUUAGGUGGGCCGGUGGAACGGGCCGACCCAGUGGAGAGGUAGACUACUAGGCUAGGGAGGCCGGCGGCUGGGCCUUGGGCCACUUUGGCUGCGGGGGAAGGAUGGACCGGCCUGGCUGACUGCUCUCUCUCUCUCUCUCUCUCUCGUCUAAAAUUAUUGCAAUAACAGAAAAAAACAAAGAAAGAAAGGAGAGAGAAGAAAUUGAUGGAUAAAUGAUUUGGACAUUUGGAUUAAAUUUCUGGAUUCACAAAAUUGAGCUCGUUCCAAGAAAAUGCAUUUGGCACCGCUUGGCAGGAUUGCAUUCGAACAUAUUUGAAUGUGAUUCAAAUAAGUUUGAAUUAGGAAAACAUUUUUUUGGAGAGUCCAAAAAUGUUCGGAAUUUUUGUGGAGAUCAGGAAAGCGAUGAAAUAAAUUAUGGGCAAAGUUUGAGGAGCAAACUUGAAGCAGAAAGGACAUGGGGAAUAUUUGCAAGUGUGUUAUGGUUAAUUCCAAAAGAAUAGAAUAUUUAUUAUAGCUCCCUAAUAUUGGGAGGAUAUCCUGUAAAGAGAAUCACCAUGUGAAUUCCCUCGGUUUAAAUGGACCGAAGAUCCAUGCAAUUUAUUUAGUUGAGUUCUACAAAAUUAAAUGACAUGAUGACAUGAUGCAAUGCAAAAGAUGCAAUGAGGAAUGCAACAAACCAACAACUCACACGACGAAACUCGGAAAACAUGGAAGGCGUCUGAAGCGUCGGUCUUGGGGCGUCACAGGGGAUCCGGGUGUAGAUGCUCUAACUGUCAUGUAUGUGAGGCAUACCCAUCUAUGCCAACUCAUUAAUAAAUUUAUGUUUAGAUUGUACAUACUUAGCUUUCAAGUUAUGUUUGUGUGUGUGUGUGACACAAGUGCAUCAUGUUGUGUAAUCGAAGUUAUUGUGAUGGAGCUUGUGCCAUUGAGGAUAUUUCGGUAACAAUGUAUCUCAUUACUGAUAGCAUCCUUGUUAUAAUAACAAUGCUCAAGAUCAGGAAAACAAGAUCAUCAUCAAUACAUGAGCUAGUCUUAGAGGCAUGAGGCAUGACUAGGGAUCACAUUGGUGUUUAUGUUUCCACGCAUGUAUUUCGGUUUUUUCUAUGAAUCUCAUAUACAAGAACUAAUACACUUAUAACACAAAAAUAUAAACUUGAUAAUGAACAUGGAAAUAUAAUAGUACAAAUUAGUGACUCUAGGGCAUAAUUCCAACAAUUACAACUUUCCUUCUUUAUCAAAAUAUAAUAGGAAGUAAUAAGAUGCUUCCUAUUUACAACAUCUGAAUUAAAUAGAUUUAACCAAACAAAGAAGUGUGUAAAUAUUGUAUUCGUCCUCGAGAACACAUGAUAAUUUACUACCAAAUAUAAGGUAUGUAUGGUAUAUAAUUAUGAGUCAUCAAUGAUUGCUUGACAUAUUGGGGAAUGUAAAUAACCCACUCAAUUUUUUCUAGCUAUAAGUACCACCAAACAGAAACAUCUCAAACAACACAAAUACCAAAGAAACCACCAGCUAGCUUGCUUCAAAUCUUAAGUAAUGGCGCUAACAAAAUUUGCUCUCUUCCUUGCCCUCAACCUUGGUCUCAUUGCUAUUGUGCAUGGUAACCCUCCAAUGGUUCCUACACCACCUUUGGUGCCUACCCCACCUAUUGCACCGACACCAUCGAAUGGUGGUUCCUGCCCAAUCAACCCACUAAAGAUAACUGUGUGCAGCAAUGUAUUGUUGCUACUCAAGCUCCGGAUCAACGUGCCGAAGACCGAGCAAUGUUGCCCACUGCUUAGUGGGUUGGCUGAUCUUGAUGCCGCUGUCUGUGUUUGCACUGCCAUCAAGGCCAACCUCCUUGGCCUCAUCGACGUCGACAUUCCCGUCGACCUGACCCUCCUACUCAACCAUUGUAACAAGACAUAUCCCUCUAGUUUCACCUGCUCGCCAUGAGCCAUGAUCAACUAUACCUCUCCAAAACAUUCUCAUAAUUGUCAUGCAUGUGAGGCAUACCCAUCUAUGCCAACUCAUUAAUAAAUUUAUGUUAGAUUAUAUAUGUAGAUUUCAAGUUAUGUUUGUGUGUGUGACAUAAGUGUAUCAUGCAUGUUGUGUAAUCAAAUUUAUUGAGAUGGAGCUUGUCUCAUUGAAGAUAUUUCCUACAACAUAUGAGAUCAUUAUAAAUAAUUCAAAACGACAUCGCAGCUGAUCGUUUGAACCAUCUAUCUAUAUACGACAUAUUUAUGAAUUUUUACAACCGGUUCUAUAGUCUAU
rnacentral:lncRNA from 1 species